rnacentral:lncRNA from 1 species
CCCGCUUGGGGUUUUGGUUACAUACUCACAUUGGAUUGAAGUCGCAACUUGCAAGGUGCCAGAGUUAAUUCGUCUAGUCCAUUCGGUUUUGGUGCGAUGAUUGUUUUCAUCAUGGUAGUUAGAUGUAUCUUUCUGAGCCCGCAAAAAAAGAAAUCAUUCUGAGAUGUUGUUUCUACUAUAAAACCAAUAACAAUAAUCCACAACUGCAAGUAAACUUCCGUACGUAUAGUUGAUGGAUGAUGGCUGCGUGUCGAUCGCUGUUUAGUUGAAGCCUUGCUAGGCAGCUGCGCAGCCAGGCAACAAUGUGGACCCACUCUGAUGAAAUCAUAGGCCUGAGCCUUUGACCGCUGCCUGUACCAAGCAGUUUACCACAAUCCCAAUCAGCUUGGGCCUGUUUAGUUUCCCACCCAAAAAUUUUUCAUCCAUCCCAUCGAAUCUUUGGACACAUGCAUAGAACAUUAAAUGUAGAUAAAAAAAUAAACUAAUUACACAGUUUAGUUAAGAAUUGUGAGACGAAUCUUUUAAGCCUAGUUACUCCAUGAUUAGCCUUAAGUGCUACAGUAACCCACAUAUGCUAAUGACAGAUUAAUUAUGCUUAAUAAAUUUGUCUUGCAGUUUCCUGACGAGCUAUGUAAUUUGUUUUUUUAUUAGUUUCUAAAAACCCCUCCCGACAUCCUUCCGACACAUUCGAUGUGACACACCAAAAAUUUUCGUUCCCAAUCUAAACAGGCCCUAACUUGUCGGUCCCUCAUACUCCAAUCUUCUUUUCUACUAUAGAGAAGAAAGAUUGCCCACCUCCUAUCUCAUUCAUUCACCUACCGGCAUCUAGUAUAUAUUGACUAUUGAUUUGGACUUCAGUCUCGUGCUCUCGUCUUGUAUUCUUCGUUUGAUAUGGACACAGUUGAAGAAUGCUUGUAUAUAUAUAGUUCAAAAAGGAAAAAAAAUCGACACCUAAUCAAAAUUCGCGCGCUUUUUUGCUCCAGGUGACCCACUUCAAAUGCGGUGGCGUGGCUAUCGGCGUUGGCAUGCAGCACCACGUAGCCGACGGCUUCUCCGGCCUGCACUUCAUCAACUCGUGGGCGGACCUCUGCCGCGGCGUCCCGAUCGCCGUCAUGCCCUUCAUUGACCGGUCCCUCCUCCGCGCGCGUGACCCGCCGGCCCCGGUCUACCCGCACGUCGAGUACCAGCCGGCGCCCGCCAUGCUGUCCUCCGAGCCGCCACAGGCGGCCCUCACGGCCAAGCCGGCGACGCCGCCCGCGGCCGUUGCCAUCUUCAAGCUCUCCCGCGCCGAGCUGGGCCGCCUGCGUUCGCAGGUCCCCGCGCGCGAGCGCGAGGGCGCGCCGCGGUUCAGCACGUACGCGGUGCUGGCGGCGCACGUGUGGCGGUGCGCGUCCCUGGCGCGCGGCCUGCCGGCGGACCAGCCCACCAAGCUGUACUGCGCCACGGACGGCCGGCAGCGGCUGCAGCCGCCGCUUCCCGAGGGCUACUUCGGCAACGUGAUCUUCACGGCGACGCCGCUGGCGAACGCCGGCACGGUGACGGCCGGGGUGGCGGAGGGCGCGGCCGUGAUCCAGGCGGCGCUGGACCGGAUGGACGACGGGUACUGCCGGUCGGCGCUGGACUACCUGGAGCUGCAGCCGGACCUGUCGGCGCUGGUCCGCGGGGCGCACACGUUCCGGUGCCCCAACCUGGGGCUCACCAGCUGGGUGCGCCUGCCCAUCCACGACGCGGACUUCGGGUGGGGCCGGCCCGUGUUCAUGGGCCCCGGCGGCAUCGCGUACGAGGGGCUCGCGUUCGUGCUCCCCAGCGCCAACCGCGACGGCAGCCUGUCCGUGGCCAUCUCGCUGCAGGCGGAGCACAUGGAGAAGUUCCGGAAGCUCAUCUACGACUUCUGAUCUCCGAGCUCCUCCCAAGAAGUCGUCAGUACCAUACCAACCAGUACGCGCAGCACAGAGAAGCAGAAGAAGCGGUAGCAAGAGGUGCAGGGAGGGUGAUUUUUCAGCUAUGAAGUCUGGAGGGAGUACUCCGUAGGUUGCAGCAAGAUUCUUUGAUUUCACACAUAGUUCCUGCACACUUUCCCGUUCUUGCCUGCCCCCUUUGGGCAGGGUGUAUACUUUUUUGUGCCGUUUGGUUUACGAGCCCCAGCAAUUGUAUGAUGAAUGAACAAUUUAAUACGUUCUGAAUGAUACAGAUCAAUAAGACUAAUUAACUUACCUCUUGAGUUUUUUUUUUGAUAUAGAUAAGCAUAGAAGAGUAUACAUAUGCAGGAGUGCAGGACAGUGGUACGAUUCGAGUUCGAUCGACAAACGAGAAAGUACAGCCUGAACUUAUAAUCUGGUCUGGACAUGAUCAUAUGACUGGGCCUUCUUUUGAACGUGUACUAGUUGACGAAUUGAGACAUCCCAAACGGGCCCGCUGAAUAAUUUGGGCUCUAGAAAGACACUGCAACGGAACGAAGUACAGUGCAAUACUCUUUUUCUCGUGGAAGUGGAACGUUGUCUCUUGUCUGAUUCCAUGGAUUGCAGCGAUCGGAACAGGUCGCACACGUCCCCUUUUUGUUUAUCAUAUAUAUAGUAGCCCGAACCACACGCGUGGACAACGUGGCAACAAGAAAGAUGAGGAUUAGGUCAAGACUCGAGUGGAGCUCCAUAUUGCUUGUUGGUGUUGGUGGCUGGUGGGUGUUCGCCAACCCUGGCCGGUUGCAAGUAGGUGACGACACUGACACGGGCUCCGUGUGGCCGGCCGUAGCUUCCUCCCCGCGCGGAUUACGAUUGUACUCAGGCUGCAGGGGUCCACGGCACGGACGCAAUUGGCGAUUGCACAGUCGAGGUUGGUGGUGUAUCGUCACCACUGUCUGCCCUCACCCGUACCAAACAGAAUUUUUACCGUCGUCAACCGGUUGGAUGGAUCAUCGCCGGUAUAUAGCGUAAAACAACGUAUGUAAUAAAUAUAUAUAUAUAUAUAUAUAUAUAUAUAUAUAUAUAUAUAUAUAUAUAUAUAUAUAUAUAUAUAUAUAUAUAUAUAAAGACUAAAGUGUGGACAUUUUUUUUGUGCGACAAUCAACUUCGGCUCUUCGUCCUGCCUCCUGCGAUCUCCCAUCCCUCGCACCUACGCUCUCGCUUGCAAAAAAAAAGGAAAGAACAAACCUCGCUCGUCACAUUCCUGCAAUCCCGCAGACUCACACCCCUCACGCCGCCCCCUGCUGCGUCACAGCGCGCCUCCGCCACCACCUGUCGUCGCCCACCUGCAUCGUCGCAGUGCGCCUCCGCCGCCCGCCGCCGCCUGCGAGGCCACCUUUCUGACGUUCUUGGAGAUCUUUGGGGGAGGAUUUAGGAUACUGGAGUCUCCCGGUGGCUUCCAAACAUGCGCUCCAAUUUCCUCCACUACAAAUCCGCAGCCCUCAACCAACCUGCCUCCCACGCCGCGCCGAGUCGUGGAGGCGCCAACGUCCCUGCGCCGCCGCCGUCACGGCCGGGGGGCAACAGGACAACUGUCCGGCAGCACCGUGCCAUCUCGUCCGCGACCUCAGGUUCAUCCGAAACCUCGCUAAUUCAGGCAGGAUCAAACCGACACUUGCAACCGACACUUGCAAUGGUGUGCUCCUUCCACCCCUCCACUCCUCCUAUUGUACAUAUGAAUUUGAUUUCCUACGACCUGCGAAUCCUGCCAUCUGUCGAAUGUGGGUUUUCUACAUGCAAAUCUAUCUAUAAGCAUCUCCAAUUUUCAAUUUUCCGAGCUAAUUUUUGUUGAAUUUUAUUUCUUCCUUUUUGGGUGAUUUUUGUGGAAUUUUUGUUCUUCCUUUUUGGAUGCGAAUUGGGGCGAAUUUAUUGAUGGGCUUUGCUGGUAGGAUAUGUGACAAGAUAUCUUUGUCAUCAAACCAUUUGAUCUAACCUUUAAUUUGGGAUUUUAGAAGGUUCCCCUUUUCUAGGGUUCCGAGAAACAUGACACUGUGGUUUGGAUUUCUUUUCCAUCGGUUUUGAUUUGGUUUGUUUGAUGUGGUUUCAAGCAUACUUUACCACCAACGGGUGUCGCUCCAGCAUCAACGCAGGUGCGCGCCUGGCCUUCGCCCUGCUGACCUCAGGCACUCCGUGUUCGCCGAGGUCGAGUUUUACGGAGACGUCGUCCUUUGUUUCUUGUGUGUAGAGGAACACUUGCUAAUCUCCAGAGCCUCUGUCUCCUGCCAACAGUUGGGCCGCCCUUGCCAAUCUCUGGAAUUAUAGGAUAGCCUCACUGUGCCCACAGUUUAUAAUCCCGAGCACCUUGCCACCAGCUAGGUAUGUGUCUCAAUCUUGAAUCUUGAUCUGAACUCAAUUCUCGAUCCGGUUGGGCGCCACUAUAGUCAUAGUUUAUUGUUUGCCUCACAUCUCAUAGAGUUUAGUUUGCUGCUAGACUUUUGUUGCAUUCUUUUUCGAUGAGCAUUGACGAUUGAUAUUGAUAUUUUGCUUGUGUAGGAAAACACAUGCCUAUGUGCAUACCUCUCCUGCAGCCAUGGUUAAACUUGCAUAUGUUUCGUCGGCCUUCCAUGCAUGCAGACAUCCAUCACCAGGUUCAAUGUGAUUGUUGUUUCAUGGUCGGGUUAUUUAUUGAUAGGCCUAUGUCAUCUCGAAGUAACUAUUGGUGUUGGAAUUCAGGUUAAUCUAUUUGAUAUUUUGCCAGGGCUAUUCGAUGGACAUCUCAAAUGUGUGUGAUCUGAGGGCUACUUUGCAGUAACAAAGUUAUUAGGUAUAUCUUGCUGCGACAGAUCAUCAUUUUACUAAAUGCUACCUACGAGAAUAGGUGUCAAUUUUUUUUAGAAAAAUCAGCUUGACCAAAUCUUUCUCUCCUUGACUUUAUCAACAGUAUAUAAAUGUUUUCUAAAAUUAAAUGUAGUUACUUUUUGUCCAUGUUGCCCCCUAAUUUCAGUGUUAGCUCUCAGUGAAUUCAUUCAUUUAGUGCUUUCCCCAAAAUCCACUAAAUCCUUCUAGAGUUGAUUUUUGUCUUUCUACAAAAAAUGGCUUCACCUAUUUCCUUCUAGAGGAACAUGAGGGUAUUUAACGCAUCAGCAUGCAUGCAACUCUUACUAUUUGCGGCAUGUAUGGUAGUAUGAUGUGGAAACACAAUAAAGAAAGCACUAUGUGAUUGUAAUGGUCUAGACUGUUAAUUGAUUUGCCAAAUGAUUUCCGUAGAUCUUAAAACUAAUACUGGUGGCACUUGGCAGUAUUAUGUUUUAUUUGUAAAAUAAAUUAGUAGUUGAUGGUCAUUGUAAUAUGAAGAAUUCUUGAUUGAUGGUGUUUGUGUGUUGUCACUUGUCUGCUAAACCAAGAUUCCAAUGUGACGACUAUGUAUCCUCCUUGGAAUGUGAUUUUAUGGACACUGAUAUUUAUGACCCUUAAGUUCUAGGUGUUGGUUCUAGAAUAAAAAAAUCACAUAGUACAUUUUCAUAUAUAUUCUUUCAGUUAUGUGGCCAUUGUUCUUUAGUCUAGAGUCCUUUGUAGGUGGUAAAAGGCCUGAUCUCAAAUUCAUUUUUUUUUCUCCUAUGCAUUUGAAGUAAUUCUUGUUCUGUAUUUUUGUAAGGAUUUUUCAGUAAAGGUUGGCUAACUUGGACAAACGUUCUCCUCUACAACAGCCUGAACUAAACCUUCCCUUUGCUGGCAUGCUAAAUGUUAAGAAAAUAAUUAGCAUAAUAUAUACAAUGAUCUGCUGAAUUUCUUUUCUGCACAUACCUAUCUUGUUUCUAUUCUUUUGUGUUUCUUCCAUGAUUCCUGAUCCCUGACGAUGUUAAAUCUUGAAUGCAUAUAGGAUUGGAGUGUAUGUUCUGUUUGAAUAGCCCGAUGUGAUCGGUGAUCCAUAUUGGAGUUCUGGGCUUCAGGCAAGGCAAAUUGCACAAGGUUAACUAAGGUAAUGGCUUUUUGACAUUUUUCACUGGGGUGCAUGCAGUUGCAGGACCUCUGAAUGCGUGUCUUCUUAUCACACUGAUUUCUUAAAUUCUACUUGCAUUACAUCUCCAUCUUUAUACAAAUUACUCUAUUUUAGCAGGACUACAGAACAUGGGCGAAGCAUGUAGAUUAAAGAAAAAUAGAUGUCCAGACUAUUCACAAUGAUGUUGCAACUUUUUUAGGAGGUUUUAUAAUUUAAUGGAAAACCUCCUUGCUAUUGUAUAUAGAGCUUGUCUGCCUUAUCUUCCUCACAUAUAUGUGUGUGUACCAACCUAAAGAAAACAAUAAGGCAAAGACCAAACAAGGCUUGUUCCCCUAUAAUAUGUACCAGAUCUGUUUUUUGAACUUGGCUAAAUUUGUUGGAUUCAUAAUCAUGGCUAAUAGUAAUAUUAAUAUAUGUUGGCUGAUAAUAAAAAUAUUUCAUGGUAAAUAGGGAUGGUUUUGUACUAAUAAACAGCUAGAACCUAUAAUUUUGUUCUUACAGGUAAACUUCUAUUGUCCCUGAGCUAAGAUUGAUUUAUGUCUACUCUCUAGCUAACUCUUGGCAGUUGGCACUAAUUUUUAAUGGCAGUAAUGUGAGCCUUCCAAACUCCUAGAACCGAGAAAUGUGGGCACCAAAUGUGGACCUCAAGUUAGUUGCCAAUAUUACCAAGAUUCAGGCAGUAAUCAGUAAGAAGGAACUGACAACUUACCCCCUUGACAUGUCUCUGUGUAACAACAGCUCACAAAUUCUAUGGUUGAACCAUACAAGGCAUGUCUCCCUUUGCAUUCAGAUAUUUUUAAUGUUUAGAAGAUAUACAAAAGUUAUGAUAUUUUAUACCUAUGCUUAUGUAAUUAACAAAACAACUACAAUUUAUCUCUCCUUUAUGAUAAUUUUAAAUCUAUGUAAUUCUAUGCUUGAUUACCAAUGCUACAAUGCACAUCAUCAACAUUUUCAUUCGAUUUGCAUUACUUAAUUCUAUUUUUGAGCGUAUCAGCUGAGUGGGAGCUUAACAUUGCUUCACUUAUUGUGAUAAUAUUUUUUUUCUGUUGUAACAAACAACUAUGAUCAUAGCCAGAUGCUUUCCCUUAUGCAGAUCAAGCACAUUAUUUGGCCAGAAAAAUUGAUGGACCUGUAUAAACUUUUUUUGUCAUUCUAUUAUGAAUGCUUGAAAAUACGAAUGACUAUCAAAUUAAAAAUUAUCAUUUAGUACAAAAAUGGACAGAAAUGUAGUAUAAAAACUACGCCAUGAAAAUUCAAAACACGUUUAAAUUUAAAAUUAUCAUUAUGUGAGCAUGUGACGCCACGCUUUGUGACUGAGUUAGUUUCAGAAACUUUAUUUUUUAGAUUAAAUGUCACUUUAAUAUUGGUAUUUAAUUUUACGAUGUUAUUAUUUUAUAUCGUGCGAUCCAUGUGUUUUUAUACAAAAUGUUAAUUAUCCCGUAGCAACGCACGGGCACUCUUCCUAGUAUAUAUAUAUAUAUAUAUAUAUAUAUAUAUAUAUAUAUAUAUAUAUAUAUAUAUGGCAAACGCUUUUACGUAAUUCUCAAAACACGAACCUAACAUAUAUUUUCUGCCUAUACAUGUCGUACUCUAUUUACCCAUACUCCUUGUACCCACACUCACAUUAACACAGCCCCUCUUAAAAAAUCAUAUUAUCUCUGCAAUUAACAUAGAUGUACCCUUGAUGGCUUCUACAAAACUCGUCUGAUUCCAACAACCUAUGGAAUAAUAUACAGUAACAAUACAUUUAUUGUAGUUCUUUAUAGACACAUUUCUCCUAAUUCCUGACAGGUACAUGACCACAUCAUCCUGACACCGAGUCAUCGAUCAGCAACUCAGACGAUGAUGAACAAGGAUGGGAGUUUGAUCUCAACAUGAACCUUGGUUUAUCUUACCGGCUCUAUCACAGCCCAACAAAUUCUAUAGUCCACGGACUCGGUGCCUUUAGUAAUAUUUAGGCCUACCACUAUCUGGUACUUUUAUGCACUGCAUUUUGCAGGAAUUAGCCUACACAUCCUGCUGAUGCUAUGUAAUAUUGCUACCUACCACUCUGCAGUGCUUUCGUAUGGCCACCAAGACUUUGUGUAUGAUAGACCUAAUAUCUAUAGCUGUUGCAUAAACUGCUCUAUAUACAUAGCUUUGCUCUCUGGUGUAUAUAACAUUAUUUCAUAUCCGAGCAUGGACAAAAUGUACAUAGAUAUCAGCAAAGGCAUUCUAUAGAUAAACAUAUACAUAGUAUUAAUGUGUGCAUCUUCUCCAAUCAACAAUCAUCAGUAUCCUUUCUAAUCGUGCGCAUGGGCGCGCGUUUCCUACUAGUAUAUGUAGUAGCCCGAACCACACGCGUGGACAACGUGGCAACAAGAAAGAUGAGGAUUAGGUCAAGACUCGAGUCGAGCUCCAUAUUGCUUGUUGGGUGUUGGUGGCUGGUGGGUGUUCGCCAACCCUGGCCGGUUGCAAGUAGGUGACGACACUGACACGGACUCCGUGUGGCCGUAGCUUCCUCCGCGCGGAUUACGAUUGUACUCAGGCUGUAGGGGUCCACGGCACGGACGCAAUUGGCGAUUGCACAGUCGAGGUUGGUGGUGUAUCAUCACCACUGUCAGCCCUCACCCGUACCAAACAGAAUUUAUACCGUCGUCAACCGGUUGGUUGGAUCACCGCUGGUAUAUAUCUACUGGCUUCUCGCAUAUCAUUUUUUUUGUUUUUUUGGCGAGAAAUAUCACUACUGGUUUUAAGUGAACCGGCUAUGAUGCCUAAUUGCAUGUUACUGUUGCAGUGCACGAUUGAUUCUGUUUGCUUCUAGUUCCUAGCUGGUAAUGAGAAUGGAGCUGUCAAGUUCCUUUUUUUUUCCAUUUUUACAAAAGCAAGUUAAGAUAUCGGGCACCGACAUAUACAUAAAACCAAAUUUUUUUAAAAAAAAACAUUACAUAGAACCAAUUACAUGUGCACACAAGCACAUAUGGUAAGACAAAACAAGCAUUAAUCUCAGCUGCAUGGUUCUCAAUAUUAAGAACCAUUUAAACCACUUAUCUUGUGGGGCUAGAUUGAUGCUCACACCAGUGGACUCGUCCAUAUGUUGUUGCUAGCAAGUCAGCAGCAAACCUUCAGAAUACUUUGUUAAAUUUGGAGUUCUUUGACCAUGCAUGCAGUAAGCCAAAUGAGUCCAAUUGCAACAUUCAUGUCUCUUUACAAAGCUCAACUUCUUCUCAAAGUUUAGUAUUUGAAUUACAAAACGCAUCUGGGAUACAUGUAGCACACAACAUCAUGGCCACUACUGAUGGAUGAGCUUGUUAUGGAUGCAAACGAGUUUAUCUACAAACCCACAAUUAUUUAUGGGUUCGCAGACAAAACCGCUCGUAUCCCUAAAGGUGUUGAGGUAUUAUUAGCCCUGCUAAUGGUUUUGAGACCGGAUUACUUUGUUUUGGUGGAGCAUGGAUUGAGAUUUCAGAUGACAUGUUUAGGUUUGGACCUUCACUAAAAUUUCAUAGGUUUGAAUUGAAACCGGAAGCUCAAAAUAUGGUUUGAAACUAUAAGCCUAAAAUAUAAGUUAAACCACAUGCUAGGAUGUACGUAUACCAUUAGGCAACAGAGCGGAUGAUGUGGUACAAUAUGAAAGUCCUAGUCCUAGAGAAGGAGGCGUAGGCCCAGCCUAACUGCGUAGUCACUGUCGUUGAUCGAGAAGAAAGCUAUUGCGCAAUCAGUGUUGAUGAAGAUAGUGACGAUGGCAAACUAGCUCGGCGACACUAUUGGCAAGUUAUUAUUCUAAAAGUCAAAGAACCACCAUAUUCAAGCAUAGCACUACAGACGACUACUUCCAAGGAAAUCUAGUCUAGUGGAUAGCAGAAGUAAAACGAAAGGCAGCGUGAUGAGGACAUUGCUGUUGUAAACAACCUUUACAACGACCAAUUACUUAAGGUCGUGCACGUCACUUAAGUCAUGAAAUGAAUUCAUUACUCUCACUUUAUACUAUUGUUUCUAAGGAUGCUAUGCUAUUGAAUUCUUGUGAUAGUUUGAUUCUGAGGAAUAUGGGUGUGUUGCUUAUGAACAUGUCAAAGUGUGGAGCUCUGAUUAAUUUUAACUCAGAGUUAGAUUUUGUCUCAGAAUCAGACAGCCAUGCACUAAAUCCAUGAUAACUUCUUGUAUAGAGUCUAAUUAAGGUGAUCUCGAAUGUGUUUGAGAGCAAGACAAUAGUUUUGUUUUGGCUCAGGUCUAACUCUAGAUUCGUCAUGGAACAUUCUUUGUGAAUAAAACUGCGUGGCGUGUCACUUAGACCAAGUUAAGCCUUGUAAGCGUGUUUGAUUAAGAAACACUAUUUCCACACAUAAAAAAGGUAAGUUAUAAUAAUAUAUUUCAUAAUGUUUCUGAUUGAGCCUAGGUUGUCAAAAGUUUUAUUUUUUUUAUAAAUUUGAUCAAAUUUGAAAUCAAUUGACUUAGGUAAAAUGAAAUACAUUUUAUUUGGGGACGAAGUGAGUAGCAUAAAUAAAAGAUUCUUUAUUUUUUUUCUAAAUUAGGGCCUGUUUAAUUCCUAAAUAAUGCAAAUUUUUUAUGACCAAAAUCUUUUCGCUAUAUUUUUUACAAAUACAAACUUUACAGGUUGGUGUUUAGAUACAUACCAAAUCUUUUGGUGCAAAUAAGUGUGAGAGCAUAUAUGUCACCCAAGAACAUUUACACGGUUUUAGACCUCCUACUUCGCAAAACACAAAAGUUUAUAGGAUAUCUUUUUUGACAACUUUAAAGUGUUUAGUUCUCAAAUGUAAAAAAGUGAUCUGAAUCCAAAAUAUUUUAGCAUUUUGGGUGUAACUCCUUGUUGUGAAAAUUUAACACGCUUCUUGUGAAUUUAAUGUGCAAAAUUAUUGCUGAGAGUGCUCGAGAGUCUCUCCACUCUUCGGGAAAAUACAAAAGCAAGCAAGGAGCCAUCUCGAAUUCUCGAUCCAUUCCCCACCCAUCCAUCUGAAGGCGAGGGUUAUCUCGUACCUCCCCCGCAGGCCGCAUCCGAGCGCAAACAAAACUCCUCUCCGCGCCGGCCCUCCACCGGCGACCGCGCGCCCAUGGCUGCCUUACUCCGCACGGCCGCGGCCCUCGCGCCCCCGCCCUCGUCGCCGCUGCCCGCACGGGAGCCGCGUGGGCGGUGCCUGCGGCUCGCCUGCUCCCGGCGCGCGCCCGCCCGACCGCUCCGGGCGUGGCUGCUGCCGACUCCGCACGUCUUCUGUCGCGACGGGGCCCGGUUCCGGCGCCUGGCCGCCACCGAGGCCGACGAGGCUGCGCAGACGGCGACGCAGGUGAGGGUGGGUGUUCUGGUGGCCGUAGCUCGUGUAACCUCUGUCGUUCCUCUGUGUCCAAUGGACGGGUGGUUGCUUCAAUUGUGAAGAAUAGCUGUGAGAUUCCUGAUAUCGUUAGCGUCCUAGUAAAUUUGAAGUAGAAAAAUAUGAACCGGAGGUGACAUGUUGUUCAUUCUUUGAACAACAGGGUUGCCUAUGGUCUGUUUAGUGAUGGUAAUGAUCUGCAUUCACUUCUGACAACGAAUUAUUUGCUCUUACUUGUUUGGAGUAGGUAGAUACACAAUUUUUGUCAAAGCUACCGCUUCUUUUCGCUAUGUUUUGAUUAUAUGGCUGGGGAUACAUAAGUGCUGUAAUUUGGGGGAAUAAGCAGCUGGACCUACAUUCUUGAGUUGUUUUAUGUCCAGUUAAAAAUCUUUCAGUAUGUUGUUUGGUAAAUCAUGAAGAUUUCUGCUUUGCCUUCUUCAGUGCCCUGUAAAGACCUUGGUUAGUCAUGAUUAGUGAUUUUUAGGUGGUCCUCAAGAAGAUCCUGAUUUAGCAAUGUAGGACAGUUGUGAUACUUAAACUAUAUAGCCUCGCUGUCCAUGAUAGUUAUAUUUUCGCUGGGAAACAUUCGGAAAUUCAUGUUAAGUUAUGCUAAAUUAUGAUUCAUUUUCAAUAUAAGCUUGUUGGCUUCAUAACUCACACUCACUAGUCUAAUGUAAAUUUCUUUUGAAGUUUGAUCAAUAUUAGAGCGAGUAUUGGAUAGGACUUUUGCAAGUAAUGACUGCCAAAGUUUCACUAAUUCGAAAGCAUUAGCUAUCUGUUAGAAAAACCAGGGUGCUGCACUUUUAUGGAAAACCUUGGAAAAGUAGGGUAGUCGCAUCAGUGGUGCAUCUUUGUUUAGUGGAACUUAUCUGUACUUGUAAAAACACUUUCAUGUGAUGCUGCCACUCUGAUGGUGUGACAGCAAUAGCAGUACCCAGCUGCAUGCCUGUGCACCUGUGCUAAUUCAUGAAGAUGCUAGUCUCCUGUUUGAUCCUUGAAGUAUAGCAAAAUGCACAAUCUUGUUGGUUGAGGACAUUGAUUUGUUGCAUUUCACUAUAAAUGCUAUUAUGUUAUUAUGUUGGAAUUUUGUUAGAGGUCUUUGGAUUUGAAAAGUUAUAUAUCGAAGCCUUCAUUCUAGCUUUAGAUACAGUAUGGCACUGAUUUGUGUAACGCCUUUACAAUAGUUAAAUUGCAGUGCAGGGAUGCAAUCUUUCUGCAGAUUACAUGACAGCAACAUAAUAAUUUAAAGGAAAAUGUUCUAUUAUGUUAGGUUGGAAUUUUCUUUAAAGAUGGCAUAGUGCAACAAUAUCUUGCUUUCCUUUGAAUGCUUGUUUAAAAGCCGAAGAAAUUCAUUAUCAAUUCUAUCCACCUCCAUGUACAGAUAAUCUGUCUAUUGGAUGCUUGGGCUUUUUUGUAUGAUAUUGUUUUUCUAUGCUGCAGGAGGAUUCAGAAACCGAAGUUACUGGAGAUAGUGCUGCAGAUGAUGGUGCUGGAAGCACAGAUGAAACUCCAUCUAUUAUUGUGACAACACUGCAGUCAUACAGAGAAGCUCUGAUUAAUGAUGAUGAAGCAAAAGCUGCUGAGAUAGAGUCCUUUUUACUUUCUAUCGAGGAUGAGAAGAACUCUCUUCUGAACAAAAUCACUGCUCUAAAUGCCGAACUAGCAACUCAACGAGAGCGUAUCUUGAGGAUCAGUGCUGAUUUUGACAAUUUCAGGAAAAGGACAGAAAAUGAGAAGCUUAACAUGAUGGAAAAUGUGCAAGGGGAACUUAUAGAGAGCUUUUUGCCUGUUCUCGACAACUUUGAAAGAGCAAAAAUGCAAAUAAAGGUGGAAACAGAGGGAGAGGAGAAAAUAAAUAAUAGCUACCAGAGCAUUUAUAAGCAAUUUAUUGAGAUUCUGAAUUCACUGGGCGUUGAAGAUGUCGAAACUGUUGGCAAACCAUUUGAUCCUAUGGUAAGCUAGUCUUAGCAAAACAUCAUCUAGACUAAAAUUAAAUUCUGAGAUUUGCAUAUUCCACUUAAAGUUUUGUUGCUACACUACAUAUCUACUCGUACAUUUUUAGUAUUUCAGUGUAAUCAGGUGGUAGAGUCUAUUGACUAUUUGACUUCUGCAACAGAAAUGCUAAAUCUUUAUAGCUGUCCACAUCCGAGCAUUUGCAAGGGUCUUUUUUUUUCCUUUUAAAAUGAUUCCUUAUUGCACCUUGUGUUUCAGCUUCAUGAGGCUAUUAUGAGAGAAGAUUCAUCGGAGUACGAAGAGGGGAUCAUUCUCCAGGAAUUUCGAAAAGGUUUCAAACUCGGGGAAAGAUUACUCCGCCCAGCAAUGGUUAAGGUAUCUGCAGGACCAGGCCCUGAAGUGUCUGCAGGACCAGGCCCUGAAGUGUCUAGAGAUGAUGACCCUACAGUUGUGGAAGACAGUGUGGCACCUCAAAAAAUUGAAGAUGUUGAAGACGACGGUGUUGAUGGCGAUGCAGAAUAGGUGGAUGGAGCUUAAUCUGUGAAUCAACAAGAACAGGUCCAGAAAUUUUGAUGCUUUUCUGGAGCGUGCCAAGCAGGUAAUAGGAUAGUACCAAUCCGUUCAAGGUAGAGUUAGGUCCCCAGAUGUGCUGUUCUUCCCUGCUGCUGACAUGGGGUGUUGGUGUUGGUAUUGCGACAAAAUUUGUGUUCCUACCCGCCGUGGUCGACUUUUUGUUCUUACAAAGAGGAUUUUCAUGAUUCAUUGAUGCAACAUGAUAUUGUAAGGACUAAAUUGACUCUGAUUUGCGAUUGAUCCUCUCUGAAUUCCAUCGUUUGUACAUUCCGAUCGGAACGGCAGUGCCCGGGGCAAACAGAGUGCUGGAGUAUAUAGCAUGAUAAUUUAGAAAGAAAAUCGGACAUUGCCAAGCUUGCGAGUUCUAACAGAGAACUAUAUGAUUAAUAAUUACUAUAUCUCAGCAGCAUUUCAUGUUGGAAAUUCCUUUUACGAGUAGACGGAAAUGGAAAUCAGAUCACCGUCAUACUUCUAUGGGCCUAAUCCCCCCAAUGUGGGCCUUAACACCCUUGCCCCCAUGCCCAGCCCACGUCUUAUAUAUAGAGAGAGAGCCAUAAGAGGCAGCUGCCACCACUAACCCGAUCGGGUCGUCGCGCGCCUCGUCUGCCCCAACCCGCCGCCACGCCCCGUGCCCUACUUUUGCACCAGCGUUGGCCGAGCUCGUGACCGCCGUCGACGUCGAUCUCGUCCGUCAGCACUGUUCUUCCGCCCGCGAUCUGCAGCUGCGUUAUAUAUACUUGAGCCGAAGUCGUGCUGCCGCCUGCCGCCGGUGAUUUUCUUCUCUGGACACCUCUGCCGUCUAAGUUUUGCCUUGCCGCCUGAGUCAGCAUAUGGAUCCUGAAGUUUUGCCUAUAUGCAUGGUUUAAUCUAUUCUAAGUUUCUAACUGUAUGUGGUUAAGAGUACGUUAAUUAGCCAUUUGUUUAAUCCUUCUUCAUCCAACUGUUCUAACUCAGCCAGUCCAAUAAUUCUUUUGAUAUAUUAUUAGUUCAUCCAAUGAUAUAAAGACCCCUCUAUAUUCGUGUACUAGCGUUGUUUUUAGCAUAUACUCAAUCCAUCCCAAAUUGUAAGUUGUUCGACUUUUUUAAUAUCAAGUUUGAUCACUCGUCUUAUUCAAAGUUUUGUACAAAAUAUCACUUUUUUAUUGUGUAUUGGUUUAUUAAUAAAAGUUCUUCAAGAAUGACUUAAAAUUUGACUAUAUUUGCACAAAUUUUUUGAAUAAGUCGAGUGGUCAAACUUGGGGUAAAAAAAGUCAAACGACUUGCAAUUUGGGAUGGAGGGAGUAGCUUUGUAUAUAUUGCUGCAAAGGUUUAGAAAUUUGGUAAUGAUAUUUUCCUAAACCAUUGUUCUGGCAUAUUAUUGUGUAAAUGAUUAACUAAACUAAACUAAUAGUUUGCACGGUCUAAUGUUAGUAAACUUUUAUUAGAAAAUACCUUUUUACCAUGCUAAAUAUAUAUAGCUCGGAAUAUUUAUGUAAUGAUUAUUGCGUUCUUCUACCAUCGUAGGGACAUGUUUAGCAUUUUAGUAUUCCUUUUCCAUUUUGUUUCUAUUUCUUGGUGUACUAUUUUAUUUGUCUUAAUUUGUUUGUUGUAUCUAAUAUAUAUGCUCAUGUGAUCGUUGUUUGGUACAUUUAGAAGCAGAGCAACUGGUGAACAUUAUUCAAGAGCAAGAUUUUGAAGACGCAACAACAACAAAACAUUAUACAAAGUAAGUGUCCUUGAUCUUUUUGAUAUCCCAUUUAUCAUUGAUACAUACUGCAUGCAUGUGUGAGUUACUCAUGAUGACUUCAUAGGAUGUACAAUCUUCCUUGUUAGCUAGGUAUAUGAAGAGUAUUAAAUGCUUAGUUGCUUUACCUUUUAUUUACGACAUAUGAUGAUCUUAUAAAUUGUUGAUACACCUUAUUAUUGUAUAUGGAAUUGAUGGUGAUACUUGGUAAUGAAUUUAAUUGGAACAUGGAAUGAACAUCCAAGAAAACAUUGCAUCAACAUUUUAGUAUUCCUUUUCCAUUCUAUUUCUAUUGGACAUUUUAGUAUUCCUUUUUCAUUUUGUUUCUAUUGCUUGGUGUACUAUUUUACUUAUCUUCAAUUGUUUAUUUGUAUCUACAUAUAUAUAUGCUUAUGUGAUCUAUGAUCAUUGUUCGCUAUGUUUAGGAUAGUAAGUGGUGAACAUUAAAGAGAGAUUUUCAAGACUCUAAGCAGCAACAAAAAAAAUUAUAAAAGGCAAGUGUUCUUGAUCAUUUUGAUGUCUCAUUUAUCAUUGAUUAUAUACUGCAUGCACAUGUCAUACCUCAUAAGGACUUCAUAGGUUCUAGAAUGUUCCUUGUUAGCUAGGAUACAUGAACAUAGAUUCUUAGUUGCUUUAGCUUUUAUUUACGAUAUAUGAUUUUAUAAAUUGUUGAUACACCUUAUCAUUGCAUAUGGAAUUGAUGGUGAUACCUUGUAACGAAUUUAAUUAGAACAUGAAGUGAACAUCCAAGAAAAGAUUGCAACCACACGAACUCAUCAUUAGUUUUGCCUAAUUAAUUAGAGGAUCCUUGUGUGGACAUUAGUUUCAUACUAACAUGGAUAUGGAAGAAGGCUUCUAUAUUAGGUGGCCUUUGGAUAUAGGAGUUUUCUCCUAUGCUUGCCUAAAUCCUAGGUAUGGGAGAUUGCUUCUACAACUUGUGCUCUAUAAACUAAUACGCUUCGAGGGACCCUUUGGAAAGGCCUCGUAGUGAAACCUUGCCUAACUUUGGAAGUGUUUAAUAAGUUGUCCACCUUAGGAAAACUAGUAUCAUGUCAUGUGGAUAAAAAUCUACAACCUCUAAGAGUGUCUAAAACUAAUAUACUAAUUCUUCUCACGGUUAUGAGUGACCUAGAUCUCGCAUGUUAUAUUUAUAUUAAUAUUAAUUAUUAAUUUUUAUGCUAUGUUUCAUAUAUGCUUACUUUAUGUUAUUUAACUUAUUUAUAUUUAUAUGUAAUCAGCUAAUGGUUUUGGGAUAACACACUUUAUUAAUGAAAUGUGAUGACUAAUAAGCUUACUGGAGUAUAACUAGUGUUAGUUAUUCCUUGUUUUAAGCAUGUGAAUAUCAUUCCCUAUGCAUGCUGAGUACGAUGAUAUUCACGCUUGCUUUAUUAUUAUUUUGGAAAAAUACUGAAUGAGUACUUAGAUAGAGGAGUCUAGGCAUAUGUGUUCCAUAGUAAGCUACCUAUGGAAGAUUAGAUGUUCCAAUACGAGUUAGUUUUUGAUGUGUUUGAAUUAUUUUUGUUAAUGACUUUGAGUGAACUUUGUAAUAAUUAAAUUAUUUUAUUUAAAGCAAUAUUUAUAUUAUUCACUAAUGAUGUCAUUGUAUGGGUGUAAAACUGAUUCUGGUGCACAUAUAAUCCACUUGGUUCUAUUCUUAGAAACUUUUGCUAUUUUCUGUUACACUAUAUCCUUAGCCUUAUUUUUUUAUCCCCAACUUGUUGCUUGUUAAUUCAUUCCUCUUGUGUUUAUUCCUUGCCUCAACAAGCUUUUAAGACUAUCUCUUACCUCACUCUUUUGUAUCCUAAAGAUGGCUACAACUUAUUGGAAAAAUCCUAGGAGUCUUUUUUCACCAUUUAGUCUAAAGAAACACUUAGUUUCAAGCACAUUUAGUAACUAGUUUAGGCUUGCUUGUGUAUUUGUUAUCAUGUUUAUGCAUGAGCUGCAUCUUUGUAAAGUGUGUCAUGUAUUGUAGGUUGUUGUCCAUGACAACAAAAGUUAUUGUUAGCUACAUUCCAAAUUAUAAGACAUUUUAGCUUUUCUCUAAUCAAGAUAUAGUGUAUAUCUAAAAAUGCAUAUCAAAAGUUGUGUCUAAAAAACCAAAAUCUUUAUAAUUUGGAAUGGAGGGAGUGAUUAGUUGGGGGGUUUAAUCUUGUUAUUAUUUGAAUCAUGUUAUGUGAUAUUCUUGUUCUUUGUAUCUAAUUUUUUAUACCAUGCUAUGAUAUCUUGCAUUCUAUACCUUAUUUUCACACGUUAUAUCUUGCUCAUACCCUUUCCAUGAUCACCCUCUUUUCACCCAAAAAGAUGGUUAAUACAAUGAGCAACACUGGAGGCGCAAGUAACAACACUGGCAACAAGAACCCACCAUCUCCUUUGGCCCCUGUGACAAUGGAGAAGAUGAUGGCUAUGCAGACUUAGAUUUUGCAAGGAAUGGUUCAGAUAUUGACUUCUUUCCAGCAAGCUCAAGCUCAACAGAUGCAAACUCCACCUAGGGAUAGUCAUGGAGAAUUUAUGAAGGGUUGUCUGCCGAUUUUUGAUCAUUGUUCUGAGCCUAUAGAAGCUGAUAAUUGGCUCAAAUCAGUGGAGAGGCACCUAGAGAUCGCUCUGUGCAAUGAUACAAAGAAGGUCUUAUAUGCUUCUGGACAGCUUCAAGGAGCAGCAUUGGAUUGGUGGGUCUUCUACACCCGCUCUCAUGCAACUCCAGCUAAUAUCACCUGGCAGGAGUUUAAGGAUAGCUUUAGAUCAUACCAUAUGCCACCAGGACUAAUCAAGUUGAAAAAGAAGGAGUUUCUGAGUUUAAAGCAAGGAUCCAUGUCUAUCAGUGGGUAUCGAGAUAAAUUCAUUCACUUAUCACGUUAUGCCCCUAGCGAGGUGGAUACUGAUGAGAAGCAAGAUCACUUCAUCGAAAGGUUUAGACCUUGGUGUUCAGUACCUACUAGUAGCUCACUCAUUUGACAACUUCGAGCAACUCGUAGAUAAAGCAUUGGUAGUGGAGAACAAACUACAUGAAAUAGCAGAGAAGAGGAGAAUGACAUUCCAUAGUCAAAUAGAUAACAGUUCUCACAACUACCUUGUCACUCAAAUGGGAUCACAUGUUUUCCCUAAAGAUCUAUGAAAGCCCAGAUCAAGCUCAACCCCAACUCUAUAGUACACAAGUGUUCUGUCCAUCAUCAACUAUUUAUCCUCAGGCAAUGUCCAACCGUCAGAGUAUUCAAGCAAAAAGAGCUUAUUUCUACUCCAAGCAGGAAGGGCAUUUCAUCCGCAAAUGCCCAAACAAGCGUUUGCAUCAAGCUAAAAGGAAGGCUAUGAGGCAUAACAUUAUUAAAGGUGGCAACUAAAGAUGCUUGUAGUGACCAAAACGUUGCAUUUAGUAUGUCCUCAUCAACACAAUAACAUUUGUUUGUUUGGAAUCAGGAGCAAUGUAGCUUUGUACUUGCUAAAUAAAUGGUAUUAAAUUUCUUUACCACUCAUAUAUUAACCUCAUGCAAAUAUGAAGAGUCAUCUUUUGCUAGCCUUUACAAAUUUGAAAGAUGAGAUUCUAUUAAGGGGUAGUUUUGCCAUAACUUAUUCUUUUAUUUUGAGAUGGGAAUAAAAAACACUAAUAUGGUCUUUUUCUUUCAAACUUAAAUGCACGACCUCGUUAACUAACUCUAAUGGUGCACUCUCUAGGAUAAGUGGAGUUAUCUAGUGACCCAUUGAAAACGCUAGUGUAAUGUUCAAACUGGUGCAAAUGAGUCACAUUUACUCUUCAGUGUCUCUAAAGAACAAUUCUAGUGAGUGUAAAGACCACACUGAACUUAUUUUCUCUAACCUUUUCAAAUGGCUAACUCUAAACUAAUUUCCACAUAAAUACGAACACAUUUAGCACUGAGGUAGCAUUUUUAAAAUAUUUUGCAAAGGUUUUCACUUGCUUCCUCGCCAUGCCACUCAAUCUAGCACAUGUGUCAAUAGUCCUCAACUAGUAGCACUAGAUAAUUGCAUUAGCAAAAGAAUUCAUCUUGUACCACUAUCUAUUCAAAACCGACCAUUCACUUCUCUACACACCUUAGGCCAGUGCAAAUACCUUUGCCUUCAGACUUUAGCUUCCUAUUCUAUCCAUCUCCAUCAUCUUGUAUCACUUGUUGAGCACUUCACUUCCAUGGUCCUUGCCAUCUCCUCUAUAGCUCCAUGUAUGUCUCAACUAGCUUGUGAAUUAAGCACCUAGUCAUCUCACAAGAAAAACAUUGGUUCACCUAAUGUUGUUACUCAAUUACCAAAACAAAUCAAGACUUUGACGUUGUAUUUUCUAUAAAUAAAUGUUGCUUAACUCUUACUAGUACUACUAUCCCCUCGAUCUCAAAUAGAACACAUGCACCUAUUUCAAAAUUCAAAAUUUGUUAUCUUUGACCAAUAAUUAAUAUGAUCAUAUAAAAAGUUUAUACUAUACAAGUAGGUUAAGUUAGAUUUGCCUAUAGAAACAGUGCUCAUCGGGCAUGAGUCAAGUGAAAAAAAUUAUGAUACAAGCAUAGUGGUUGAUAGAACUCUCGAUAUCUAGCAGUAUCAAAUUAGCAAUAAACUUUCAUAUGCAAUCGUGAUAAAAAUAGAAAAAAUAACAACCACCUCCUCUUUGUAUCAGUAACUGCAAUGUUGCCUUGCCAAAGAUUUACUGCUAUUAUAUACUUCCUCUGUUGAUCCAAAAAUUUAUUUACCUCCAUCGCACAAUGCCUACCUCUAGACUCUAGAUAAAAUACUUAUUGUUGAAUGCAUUCAUGAUCCAUCUCAAAUUUAAAGUCUAUAUUCUAUCAUAUUCAUUUGUCAUACGAUCAACCAUACUCUUGUUGUACUAUAGCUAUACCAUGCACAUAUUGUAUAUAUGUAUUUGCAACUAUCUUAUUUUACCCUAGGGUCCAUUUGGAUCCUUGAAAUUUAUUCUAAUAAUUAUAAUUUAGACAUAGAUUAAUUAAGCUAAUAUAGUAUGGAAUAUAAUUAAAAAUUUAUGUUAGGCAUACAAGGGAUGUACUUAUAUGUUACAUUUCUAUUGUAGAAAAAUAUGUUAAAGAAUGUGCUAUAAAUUGUAGAAUAGAAUUAUACAUAGUGAUCUAUAAAAUCCAUUUCCAUCUCUUAUCCUAUCAAAUUGAGAUAGUCUUAUUUGUGAGUAUGGAAGAGUUAUAGAAUCUUAAAUCUCAAGCCAAAUAACCUACUCCAUUAUGUAGAUUUUAAUUCCUCUAAAACGAGGGAUACAAACGGCCCCUAACAUUAAAUAACGAAGGGUGUUUUUUGGUUUCAGGCAUUUUUGUUUUUUAUUUAUAUUUUCAGGAAUUUCUCGGACAUUGACUAAUACGAAUCUAGCUAGCUGCAAUACCGAUAUGUGUUACAACUUGUGUGGUCUUGAGUCCUGUUUGAAUACUACACCUAGUUUUGAUUCUAUAAAUUGAAUCCAAUUGAAGUAAUAAGAUUCUAGGAAUUGCUUUCAGUGAGAAUUGAAUUAGCCAGAAUGUAAUUGAAAUCUAAUAUUCUUGCUUGGUUGUACACAUAUAUUAUUUCUAAAAUUUAAAUUACAAAAAUUGUUUGGAUAAAAAAAAUAAGAACCACCUUAUAUGUAUCUCUGGCCAUUUUGUCUCCCGCACAUCCCUUUGCUAGUGGAUGAUGGCACCUCAUACCAGUCGUUGAUGAGGCAAUGGUGAAGCUAGAGCAAAUUAGAGGGAGAGGCACUUACCUCGUGGGUGCAUGGAGUUGUGCUAUUGGGGAUGCACAUAUGGUGAAAAUAUAGGAAAUACUACUAUUUUUUACAAAAUUAGGGGGGGGGGUAGGGGGGAGGGGGUGCGUUUGCACCCCGUAGUGACUACCUAGCUUCGGUCGUAUGAUGAGGGCUAUGGCACCUUGGACAAGUUAUUUUGUCUCUCACGCUAUUUCUACGAGCACAUAUACACAGACACUAUCCGUACGAGUAUUUUUAAAGGAGGCACAUAUCGAGAAUCAUGUGGAUUUGUUUUUUUCUAGAGCUAUUGAACUGUUGAUCUUUUUUAAAGAAACAAAGAUCCCUAACACUAAGUUAUUAAUAUCCUUGUGACUAGGAUUAAUUCUUUUAUUAAAAAUUGAUCAAAUAUAUAGUACCAAAUUAUGAUAAUUAACUUUACAAUAUAUAUUUACGAGUAUAUAUAUUUUUUAGUUUACCAUGGGAGAGCAAUAAUCUAUCAAGGCUCUAUUUUAAUUUGAUACAAGACUUAGUAUGACAUUAUCAUAUUAUUGCUAACAUUAACUUAUAUUAUGAAUGCCAUAGUCAUCACAAAAUAAAUUAAAGUUUUAAAUAUUUUAUAAAUAUGUAGCAUCCAUGUUGUCAUGUUUCCACGAACAUUUAUAGCUUUUUUUCUUUGUCCAUUGUCCAUCCGCCGUUUUUUGCCUUUCUUUUGUUCUGGUUCCGUUUGUUGAGAUAUACGUAAUUUGUAAAGCUCUAAGAGAUAUAUACAAAUUAUAAUAUAGAUAUAAUUUAGUACACAUUUUUCAUGAUGCAAAUUCUGGGUCCACUUCCCCGGGCCCAUUAGACAGCCCACGGGCUCCGCACCCCCAAUUUGUGAGCACAGAAAAUUUCACUGCAAUUGCUAAAAAAGGGUAAAAGUCACUGCAAAACCGUUGCGGCGAACACUCGAGCACCCCCGACCCCCGUUGAGAUGGUCUCCAUGGCGGCCGCGGCGGCGGCCGUGGGCGUGCUGCUGCCGUUCCCGUUCUACUACGCGCUGUGGACCCACCCACAGCGUUGGGUGGACUUGUGCGGCCGCGGCGCCGACCCGUGCCGGCGGAUGGCGCAGGUCUCGCACGCCAUCAAGGCGCUUCAGCUCCUCGCGCUCGCCUCCGUCGCUUCAUUCUCCUGGCCCCCGCCGCUCUACUGCCCCGUCCUCCUCGCCGUCGGCCAGUACCUCAACUUCAAGUGAGUAACCGAUUCGUCCUUCUCCUGUUUGUUCUCCCAGUAGGCGAGGCACCGUACAUGAUCCAUCCCGCUUUAAGCAAUAGCUGCGGGAUUUUAGAAUCUCUGCAGCUUGCAACUGUUUCUGUUGGUGCAAAGGCGCAUUUGAUUAAGGAGCUCUUGUAUUGUUGUCUGCCUUGACUGAAUUACGAAUUGUAAGGACUACCUUGAAUGAAUUGAGCUACUGGCUAUCACAAUGAUACAUGGCCGAAGAUAUGUCUAAGCUCUCCUGCACCUAAAGAAAAAGAUUCAUGCCAAGCCUGACGUCUUCUGUUCACCUUAGGUGAAUAACACUAACUGUAUUCUAUUCAACGGUUCUCAGCUGUAGGAAUUGGAGGUUACUGGUUUAGAAUUUGAAGGAAUAACUUAUUACUUCAGUUGUAUCUUGUGCAAGGCUUAAUUUCUCUUUCCAUUUGGAGCCGCAGAAUUGCUUCAGGUGAUUAAACACUGGUAAAUGUGAUUUCGAAACUAGGUACAAAGAAAUGGCUAGGGAAGUGGAUUAGGCAAACAAUUAUCAUUUUCUCCCUUUUAACACUCAUGGGUUUAGGCACACUGGUAGAUUAAUGGUACACCAUCUCUUGGAAUUUUCCUUGUCUUUAUAUAACCAAUGGUUUGCAUCAUGGUGCUAUCUUCAUUGAUAGAUUUUUAUUCUAAAUUUGUCUCUGUUAAAUUGUUGAUAAACCACAAAAUGCUGAUAAGAUCAUGCUGUAGGCUUGGGACUCAACUCACUGUUGUAACAGAUGAUAACAAAUUUGCCUUUUUUUUAUCACAUAUGGAUAACCUAUGUGUUUCUUUUUUGAACAAGGAGGUUAAUGCCGACUAAUCUUAACACUGGUUACCCGUAGGUGUCGUCAUAGUGUAAGGUGUGAGUGGAGUUAGUGUGGUAUGCCGUAUGUGUAACAUUAUGUAAAUUCAUUGCUUGCUUAUUUCCAUUUGCGUCGAAAUCACUGCCUUGAAGUUUCAGUUGUGAUUGUGAUUUAGUAAAAUGGAAAAUGAUGGUAGUGCUGAGGUGAAUGAUUAGGAGAGAGGUGGAUAGUACCAAAGAUUGGUGCGCUCAAAAUGAGUAGAGUUAGAUGGCUGGCUAGUGGUUACAAAGGCGAAACAGAAUUCCAGCCAUAACACUAGUUGAAUAAUGAUAAACAAGAGUAGCAGAAAAUCUUGCUGUGUGAACUAGUACAAAGAAGAUCCUGAUCUCAUCAUAUGCAUUCCAUUUUAUCAAUAUCGUAAUACUUCUACACUACAUGGACAUAGUACUAUAACGAGGGAGUUCAUAGUCAUCGAAACUUUGAAGUUCGUUUGUCUUCCAGUAUGUAUAUGCUGCUAGAUUGGUCAUGAUAGUGUAUUGAUUCUCAAUCCAUGAUAUACCAUCAAGGUGUCUAUGACAUAUGGGGCCCCUCCAGAGUCACUGUCAAUGGUAUAUCAUUGGAUUUAAUGUUUAUUUGGUGGCAUGGGAGGAAUUAUUCCAUUGAAUUAUUAUUUGGCUAUCUUCUUUGAUAGGUCCUUGCCAUAAAACUUUGUCUCUGUUGAAUGUUGAAAUAUCUUAAAAAGGCUUUAUAAUUGUGCUACCGAGAUAGUGGACUGGUCAUACUGCAAGAUAAGGGGGUUCUUGAAUUCCUUAACAAUUGACAUAAAACUUGUAUUUGAAUGCAUAUGUAUAACCCAGUCACGUAUUUCUCCAAAGAAUUUAAUGCUCGCCAACCUAAACACUGGCACAACUCCUCAUGGAGUAAGUGUAAAUGAAUUUAGUGGGGUAUGUGUUACAUCAAGUGAAUCCAUCGAUUGGACCGGUGGUUUCUGUGCAUACGAAAAUCCAUGGCCUUAAGUUUAGUACAUUAAUUGUCAUCGUCACUGCACAUUUAGUAAAAUAAAAAAUAAUGUAUAGAACACAGAUGAAAUCACUACUCUUCUGUAUCUAACGCAUACUAGCUAGAUUAGAUCAGAGGUGGAUAGCACCAAAGAUCAGGCCUCCAGUAGAUGUCGUGCUGGCACUGCUGCAUGGGUCCGGCUGUUGUGGUCACAGAACUAGUAGAGUUAGAUGGCUGGCUAAGGGUAACAAAGGUGAAACAUAAUUUAAGUGGCACGAUUAGUUAGAAAAAUGAUAAACACAUGUAGCAGAAAAUCUUGUCGUUUGAACACAAGAAGAUCCUGGUCCAGUCAUACAAAUUAUAUUUUGUCAUAUUCCAUAAUACUUGUACACAGAAUGGGAAUUGUACUGUGAGUGUUGCCCUGCUUUCUUCUAUAGUAUUGUGAGGACGUGAGGGAGUUCAUAGUGCAUCCUGUCUCUAAGGAUUGUAUUCUGGUUAUACGUGCUGUUCACAGUAUCUGCCUAUGUCUGUUCUGCUAUUCUGAAAUUGGCCACCAUAUUGUGUUUCAUUAUCCGGUUACUUCGCACUCAUGUCUUGUUAGAGUUGCAACUAAAAUUUUACCUAGCUGUAAAGACCCUAAAUUGUAUUCAAUGUAAUGAAGGACGCACAGUUCAUUGCUUUUGUUCCUGAAACCUUUGUUUCUUUUCAGGGUGUACCAGCUGCUUGGUGAGUCUGGUACAUACUAUGGCGUUCGAUUUGGAAAGAUGAUCCCAUGGGUGACAGAGUUUCCCUUUGGCUAUAUCAAAGACCCACAGUAUGUUGGGAGUAUGCUUAGCCUCGUCGCACUUCUGUGCUGGGUUCCACUUCAGUAUGUGUUGUUGUGGUGCCUUGGUUAUGUUUUCAUGAUGUGGAUCGAACACAAGGAAGAUCCAGCCACUCGUGCCAAGGUCAUCUCCUAAUUGCUUGGUUAUGGCAGCUGAUAGUUUCCUACAGGUGCCCCAGUGACAUUGCAUAAAUAUUCUUUGAAAAAUUUGGUACCUGAUUGCUGAGAGGUGAUGCGCCCCCAAGUUUAAGACUGGAGUUUCUAUGUCCAAAAACCUUUACAAAGUACUGUGGCAACCUCUAUUCUUGAGUAAUUCAUGUCAAGCAGUAUGGUUAUAGACUUUAGUUGUAGCUUGUUGGGUAUGAGAUCAUCUUGUACCCUGGGCAACUAUGCAACCGGGAGCGCUUGGUUGUUGCUGGGCAAAUAUUUUGACCUGGAGUUAAAUGCUUGCGCAUGGACACGUGGUAUGAAUCCAUGAUCGGGACCCAUGAUUAUCCAAUGAGGAGGUUCUAGUCAGUAAGAAUUGUAACUUUAGUCGAAACUUAGUGAGGUUUCUAUAGACUGCAUAUGUUCUUGUCCGAUUCCGAGAAAUCUCACUACAUAUCUAUGGCUCAAUGCUCAAUCUCUAGCUGCUGAGACACAGUCUAAAGCACAACCACUUUUUGUCCCAUAAUAUAAGACGUGCUAUCUCACAUAUAUUAAUGCAAUAGUACUAGUGUUGUGAGAGAGAAUUAAAUGCUUUUUUGUUCUUUGAAACAGGGGUAGUAAUUAUAGGACAGAGGGAGUAAUAAAGUUGUAGUGCUUAAAAAGACUUAAAACUUUGUAGCUAAAACUUUUUUCAUUUAAGUUUAUUUAGUAGCCAAAUAUUUAAUAUAAGAUUAUGAAUAUUGAUAUAAAAAGAUGACAUCUUAUAUAUAGUCAGAAGUGGGUGUGUGCUGCAGUGGUUGAGAGGUGUUUUGAGCAGUCACUAGGUCGUCUUGGGUUCAAUUUCAUAAAUGAUAUUAAUAGAUGUCCAUCGGUUCAUAAAGGCAGUCAUGAGCCCGUCUUUAGAAAUGGCCGAUAAAUGGUGACCAUUUUCCAGAGGCAGACUCGUUGCUCACCUUUGUCAAUGGAAAAUACUUGCUAUUGUGUAGGUCUUGCAACCGUAUGACCAAUUGUGACGACAAGAUAAAACUGGUUCAUGCCUAACGGUUUGUAAUGUGGUUGUUGUAAACUCCCUUUCUCUAGCUAGAAGUGCCAUUUUACCAAAUUAUAUUUUUUGUCUAUAUUUUCUAUUAAAAUAAUAUUAUGUUAAAAAAAAUCCAGGCCUACAAUUCUGAAAUUGAUUAGGUUCAUGACUCAAGUUGCUCGCGGUCCUCUCAAUAGAUUACCAUAUCUAUCCAUAUUGGUGGUGCUACAUAUAUAUAGUACAACCCAUCGGAUGAGGCUGUCUUUUCAUUUGAUGUAUCUUGGUUUCCUUGGAGUUGGUAACUUGUUCUUGCCAUCUAGCAUAUCAAGAAUCUCUCGCAUGGUGGGCCGGUCCAUGGGAUUCUCUUGUGUGCACAAAAGUCCUAUCUCAAUGCAUCUUCGUAUCAUCUUUAGCUGAGUGUUUUCACACAAUGACGGAUCAAACAACUUCUCCAUUUGUCGAGUUUUGUUCAUAAGAAAGUUCAUUCGUGAAGCUUGCUGCAGGUUCCAAGCCUGUGAACAAAACACAAUACAGAUGAUAAAGGGGGCAGUUUGCUAUAGGACAUGCAAAAUGAUGUCAUUUUUUUAUGUGGGACAAGAAAAAAACAGAAAGCAUUUUGCUUUUUUUUUUUGGGCGGGGGGGGGGGGGGGGGGGGGGGGGCUAUGAGGUUGUGUAAAUUUGAUGGCUGGCAAGUGAGAAUACUUAAUUUUUUGAACAUUUCUCUGGUGCAGGCUAAAUCCUGUCCAGUAGCAAAUUACGUUUUUUGGGGUGUCCCGCAGCAAACCGACAUCAUUUUGCAUGUCCUGUACCAUAGUUGGCCAUAAAAAGUGCAUUUUAGUACUUAUUACUCCGAUUGAUAGUGUAAAUCCUAUUAUUUAGUUUUGCUGUGUGAAAUAUACAGUACAUCUCUUGAGGAAAACAAAAGGGUCGUUCUCUAGUAUUUCCCUAGUCAGCUAAUGAUGUGGAUGUUUAGUGGUAGUUGCAGUGUCAUAAAAAUUUAAUUGGCGCAUUUAUUGCCCAUUCACUUAUUAUUAUUUUUCGUCACUCUUGUUCCUGCCAAUAAGAGCAUGUACAACCCAAAGACGGGUUCCGUCUCUAAACGUCUCGAAUCUAUCAUACAGACAGGUAUAAAGACAGAUCAUACAACCCACAGACGGAUGUCUGUCUCUAAGAUGUUUAAUGAUUUGCAUGUAGCUAGGAUCAAUUAUGAAUAUCAACUUGUAUACUAUUGUGUGGCUAUUUGAUAGAAGACAGGUUCAAGCAUAAAUAAGAUGAACAUAAUUAUAAUAUUUUAAAACCAUAUAAUAUAUAAUAUACAUUAUAUAUAAAGAUGAACAUAAUUAUAAUAUUUUAUAAAACAACUAAUAUGAUAUAUAUUAUAUAUAAGAUGAACAUAAUUACAAUAUUUUAAAACCACCAAUAUAUAAUUGCAAUGUACUGUCUAAUUUUCUUUGUUUCCGUAGCGUUGCUAUAUGUGUUCGAUUAGAUCAUUCUUGAGUUUCUUGUGUGUCCCCGAGCUUUGAUAGCGGAAUUCCUACGAAGCACCUCUGUGAAGCAUGGAUUAGGGUUGUCGCUUGUAUGUACUUUAGGUGGGAGCACUAUCGUCGCACUCGGAUUCUCAUUCAAAUCUAAAGCAACUCUAACUUAUUCCUUCUCAUCUUCCACUAUCAUAUUGUGAAGGAUAACACAAGUCUGCAUUAUGUUGAUAACGUCUGCCUGCUUCCACAAUUUUGCAGGUCGUCGAACAAUAUCAAAGCGUGACUGCAGUACACCAAAUGCGCACUCGAUAUCUUUCCUUGCCCCUUCUUGCUUCAAUGCAAAUAAUUUGUUUUCAGCCGACUGAGGGGCCGUUACUGUCUUCACAAAUACCGCCCAUUCAGGAUAUAUCUUAUCAGCAAGAUAGUAACUCAUAUCAUAUUGUGUCCCAUUUACAUAAUAUUGUACUAUCGGAGCUUCCCCUUUUAUAGCCUGAAUGAACAGUGGAGACUUGUUUAGGACGUUAAUGUCGUUCUGAGACCCGGCCGUACCAAAGAAAGCAUGCCAUAUACGAAGAUCAUGGGUUGCCACUGCUUCUAGAAUCAUAGUAGGAAUGCCUUUAUCACCACGAGUGAACAUGCCAGCCCAACCUUUCGGGCAAUUCUUCCAUGCCCAAUGCAUACAAUCGAUGCUACCUAACAUUCCAGGAAAACCACGAGCCUCGUUUUCUUGUAAGAUUUUCUCCAUUUCAUCACUUCUUGGAGGACGUAAAUACUCUUCACCAAAACAUUCAAUAACUCCUUCAGCAAAUUUUUCCAAAAUCUCCAAACAAGUGCUUGCAGCAAUUUUCAAUACUUCAUCAAGUUGAUCAGCCGAGGAGCCGUAAGCUAGCAUCCUAAUAGCGGCAGUACACUUUUGAAGUGGUGAAAGAGAAUCCCUACCGGUUGCAUCGAAUCUUUGGGUAAAAUAAGGAGACCACCCCCUAAGACUAUCGACGAUGCGUAGGAAUAAUGGCCUAGUCAUCCUAAAUCUUCUACGGAACAUCUCAUCGGUAUAGAUAGGAUUUGCAGAAAAAUAAUUAGCAACAAGAUCAUCGUGACCUUUUUCUCGAUUUCUUGGUAUGUACCUCCUUGGUCCACUCUGUCGACGGCGAGGUAUAGUUGAUGAUUCUCCAUCGAUGUCGGCCUUCAAUUCAUCUCGAAUCUCCCUUAUGAAUUCUUCUACGAUUUCAUCCUCAGCUAGAAAAUCUUCCACAGUUGAUCCAGCUAGAAAUUUCACUAACAAAUAGGAUAAAAUUUCACUAACAGAUAGGAGCAAAUCUAGAUCAAUUCACAGGAUCGGGUGAUUACCAAGAUGGAUCCCAAGCUGCUGAGCGCAUAAACGAAGGAGAAGCUGGAUCAACGUUGGCCGGAUCCCACCAAGCAGUAGAUGGUGAAGUGGGGAAUGGAAACCCAGUAACCCACUGUUCGAAGACGAUGGAGCCGUCACAGCGCCGGGGAAGGCACCUCCACCAGAUGUACCAAUGGAGAUAGGAGGCAUCGUUGUGCUGUUGCUGAGGGAACGGGAGAUGGGGUACCUCGGCGCCAUCGCUGUUGUUCCGCUUCCGCGACCUAGGGUUCGGCCCGCGACAUCCGCGCCCAACGACGAGCCUCCACCCUGACUGAGGUUGCAGGCCGCCGCCGCCGCCAUUGCCGCUGACGCAGUAGCCGGGGCACCCUUGCUCUUCUUGUUUGCAGAUGCUAGCGUGCUCUUCCUUGCUGAGGCACUCAACAUCGCAGCCGCCAAAGGUUGGAGCUCUCGAUUGAGGAAGAAAGCUGCAGCGCAGUGCCUGCUUCACCGGUGAAAUAAGAUGAGGUAGAGACGGAUUUGGCGGGACGGCUCCCUCCCGCGCGCGCCAAAACUUCACGCAUGCGUGCGAGCGCCCCGGAUCUACGCGCCGUCGAGACAAGGGGACGACUCCUACAACGCUGCUUGGCUGGUCUCCUCUGCAUCGGUGCACGGGACGACUCCGUCCCUUCGCGAGACGACGGAAGGCCCAUCUUCAGAGCUCAACGGGGGUUUUUCUAUAAAAAUACCGACGACCCGUUGUACAUGCCCUAAGGUACGUGAAUGAGAGAAUACUAACUGACGUGAUGUUUUUAUCUGAAAUAUUUUUGAAUCAGUCCAAUUUACGUCUCUUGAGUGAAGAAGUGCAAUUUUCACUCUCAAAACUCUUAUGUCUUAUUAAUACCCCACACAAUCAAUUUCUAUUGUAUUACUAAAUCAAAUUGGUUCUGUAACCUCCCACUCAUUUUUUUUGGUUGCUGAUAAUAGUAAUAGUAACUUACCCAUUCAAGUGAAGGUUGGCAACGAGCAGCUUCAGAUAUGCACAUACUGCUAAGGAUAUCAAGGAGGGUGACGCCAAAACCAUACACGUCUUUCUUCAUCAAGGACUCUCCUUUCGUCGAAGACUUAAGCCGACGGUUGCCAUAAUAUUCAGGAGCCGUAUACCGCCUGAAUUGGUGGACAUAUAUAAAAGCUUCCGUUAACAUAAGGAUAAGGAUAUGCACACAUGUCAUGGAAUAUGGAUGAAGGGUAACGGAAAACAGCUAAACUGUAAAAGUUCUGCUAUAUCGCAACAUGUUUCAAAUGACAUAUAUAACUGCGCAUGUUUUGUUUUUCCAAAUUAAAUAUGCGGUGCGCAUUUGAUCACCAGACUAUACCUAUGGCAGUGGGUGGAAUGACAUCUUACAUUGAGCCCACAAAGUGGUUGUCAGAUAAGUCAUUCUCUCCGAGAUCCAACUCUCUAGCUACUCCAAAAUCACCUAUCUUGGGAUUGAAAUCAGAAUCCAAGAGGAUGUUGCUUGGUUUUAAAUCCAAAUGCACAAUGUUCCGAUCAUGAAGGAUUUUAACGCCUUGGGCUAUCCCCUGAAUUAUGUGAAAUACAGAGGACCAAUGAAGUCUUGACCCUGCAGAACAUAUAUUAUACUAAUCAUUGCUAGUAAGCGAACUACAGUGACAGUCAGCAAAAUACGACAUAACUAAGAGACAAUCGGUCCCGAUAUCUGUGAAGUGUUAGUCUAGGCAAUAUAUUUCAGUGGAAACAUGUAUAUGUGUACCUAUACCAUUGAUAAUUCUGUCCAGGCUCGCAUUCGGCAUAUAUUCUCCAACCAUGAAAGAACUUGAUACUUGGGUUAUUCUAAAGCUUUCAUCUUCACUUCCUUCAUCUUCAUUUACUUCCUCGACGGCAAGGCAAUAUCCCAAAAAGUUGACAAAAUUUUUGUGACGAAGUUUUGAAACAAGCCUAAGUUCAUCAUGGACGCGCUCAUGCAGACGGUCUGCCGGAAUGCGAGAGGAAGGAUUAUAUAGCUUGAUAGCAACCAUCAACCCGUCAUCUAAUACACCCUGUAAAGUAUAUGUUUAGUGAUGAAUUCAUUACAGAUAUGCUAUCCAAUUGUAUGCAUGGGCUGAAAAGCGCUAACAAAGGACAACACGCUAUGUGCAAACUGGAAAAUAGGUAUGUGGAAAUAAUAUGAUUAUGAUCAUCGGAAAAAGCGUGAAAACAAAAUUCGCCAAACCGAGCACAUGCAGUGUGCCAGUGCAUGUAUACCUUGUAGACAAUCGAAUGUCCACCUCGUCCAAUGAUGUUUUCCUCUGAAAAGUGAUCGGUAGCAGUCUCUAAUUCAGACAAACUAAACUUUUUCAAGCCUGCUGUGGCUUCUAACCCAGAGAAUCUCAAAUGUCGUAUCCCUGCGGGUGGUGAAAUCAACGCAAGCCGAUUUUAUUCUUUUAUGUCUGGCCAUUUCGUUUGACUAAAAAAUCAUGACCGAAAGUAGACUCCGCAGAAUGACGGGUAGAUUCGGUGGAUAAUCUCAAGCGAACAGGCUUGAAAAGUUGAUCUUACUUGCUUCAAUUCCUAGGGAGGAUGGCCAUCGGGACCCUGACCUCGGUGGGUGUGCAGGCGGAGGAGCACCAGCACCCGGCUGCACUAGCAUGUUCAAGCUCAGGGUGAGCUGGGUAGUGGUGGCGAAGACACCCAGCACCAUUUGCCGCAGGAUGUCGUCCUGCACCCGGCGCAGCUGCCUGGCCAUGGCCCCAGCCGCGCAGACACGGUGCAUCGUGCUCCUCUUUUGGCAGCUGGUGACGAGCUUGAGGGCGCGGUCCAGGCUCCUCUCGAGCGCCGCCAUGGCGCCGUCCAUCGCCGGGUCGCUCGUCGCCGCCGCCGCCGCCGUCUCCAGGAGUUGCGACAGGAUGGAACUCACCCUGGUUGCGAGCUGUUCGAUGUCACGGCACUCCUCCUCGUUCCGGCGAACCGUUUGCACCGCCCUCCUGAUCGCUAGAGCCAUCUUCACAAUCUGUUUCGCCGUGCCAAUUGGGUCCGCCAUGCGUCCCUCCCGCCGUACGACCUGGCAAAGUAAAGAUCGAGGAACCUUCACUGUUCACAGCGAAUCCCUGCACCCCAAUUGAAAAAUGCAAAUUGAAAAUUAUGCUCGACGCGGUUUCACAUGACGUUGGUUGAUGUGAUGGGCUGAUGGCACUGGAACGCAAGUCAACUCUUCUGUUUUUCCUUUAUCAAGAUAUACAAAACUGAACAUAAUGAUGUAAUCCCUCAGUCUCUUCGGCCGUUCUCACUUCUUGAUCUCGAUAACUUAAACAUACACAACAUUAGCUAUGUACGGCAAUGUUAUUCUACACCCUAGGUAUAUUAUUCUACACCGCAAGUCAAAACUGAGUAGAAAAAAUACUGAGCAGUACUGAGCAACGUUCAGUAUCAUCCAGUCGUACACCCAGUACCAUGAAAUACUGAACAAUACUGAAACACAGGUACUGAACAAUACUGAAUUAUGUUCAGUAUAACAGUUUGAUGUAGAAUAGUAUUCUACACCUAGGGUGUAGAAUAUAUAUAUAUAUAUAUAUAUAUAUAUAUAUAUAUAUAUAUAAUAGUACAUAAUUUAUAUGAUUAAAUAGAUCUUUGAAUCUAUUUUAAUAAUAAAUUUAUUUGGAUAUACAAUGUUGCUAGUAUUUUUCUAUAAAUUUAGUUAAGCUUUUAAAAAAAUUAUCUAGACAACACUUAAAAGGGGGCAUACACCAAUUAUUUUGAAAUCUUUUUAGAAAAUGAAAACUAUCUAGCCUAUGCAUCAGGACAUAGCCAAUCGUCACAAGAUUUUCAGCGCAAACACUGACAAAUGAAAUAGGAAAAAGCACACUCAAAUAUAGAGAAUCAAAAGUAAAGUCUAUUAUUAUUGCCACCUACUCUUAGGCAACAACCUCCAACUCUUUGCUUGCCAAACUGAAUUAUUUUUCCUUUGUGCCCUCACGUUGCAGUGCCCAAAACCACAGUUCAUACCAGUAUGCUCCCUCAGUCUUUGAAAGCUUUAAUUACUAGAAUCUAUAUUAGUCAAACUUUUUUAAAUUUAACUAAUUUUAUAGAAAAAAAUAUCAAUAUCUAUAAUAUAAAAUGAGUAUCUUAUGAAAAUAUAUUCUAUGAUAAAUCUAAUGAUACUAAUUUGAUACUAUAAAUUUGAGCGUUUUUUAAGAAAUUUGAUUAAAGUUUAAAAAGUUUGACUUAAGACAACUCCAAGAAUUGAAGCUUUUAGGGACAGAGAGUACUAAAUUGCCCAAAUAAUAGCGGCAAUCCCCCACAAAAAUCAAACUUCUUUUUAUUCUCCCAAUAACCAUUAAAACCUAUAUCUAUAUAGUUAUAUAUGAAACAAAAAAAUUCGGAAUGCUGAGAGCACUGCAACCAGAGCCCAUGGCUGGCGCCUUUAGCAUAAGGCCAGUCUCGAUGCAUGUUUCAUGAGAGUGUCAUGCACAUUAAAUAGGAUGUCAUAUAAGCAAAAUUGCUGACUUAGCAGGGUUAUUAAAGAAGUUUCAUCAGAUGAGAGAGGAGUUUCAUCCCCAUAAAACUCAUAUGGCACGGUUACCUAGUUUAUAAUCUUGGUAACAGUGUCAUAAAACUAUGCAUUGAGACUGGCCUAAGCGAACAUCCCCCAUUGUAAUUUGUAAAUACUCAUCAUCUUUAAAAUGACUUGUGUCUAACCGAAAUAUCUAAAAUAAUUUCAUUGGAGCGCAGACAAUAGAUGUACAACAAUCUGUUACUUCUUUUGCGGAACUACUUCGAACCUUGUUUAGUUUCCACUCAAAAACAUCAUUAAAUAUAGAUUAAAAAUAACCAAUUAUACAGUUUGUAUAUAUUUUGCAAGACAAAUCUUUCAAGUCUAACUAGUCUAUAAUCAGAUAUUAAUUAUUAUAAUUAUAAAUGUGCUAUAAUACCCAAUAACUUUUUUUUCGCAAACUAAACUGUGGUCAGUGGAUUUCUGCCGACCGGACCCGGCGGCUACUGCCGUCAAGCGACCGGCUGUAAACCGACGACUACCAUCAGGCGCUCGGCACCCGGCCCGGCCCCGGCAACCGACAGAGCCAAGCGGAUCGCACAACGGCACAACCAAUGCACAUAAGCACGCAUUAGGGCCACUAGAGUUGUGGGGAAACAGAUAGGAAAAAGAUUAGUUAGGAUUAGGUAAUAAUAAUUUAGAAUUCAUAUAUGCAUCGGUCUCAGUAUAGUCUUCAUCAGCAGCAAACAUACAGAUUAGGCUCACUGUAAAGCCACAUGUAAAACCAACGCACAUUCAGGCUAACAGAUGAUAGGAGUACUAGAAAAGGAGGAACGGCCGACCGACGAACAAAGACUGUUGUACAACAGGGCGAAAUCCGGAUACUGCUGCUAGCUGUGGACUCUUCUGCAGCGACUGGAUACCAGAACUGUUGCAUGUAGCAACAACUGAUCCACACAUCGCUAGCGACGACGUCUCUUGUCGUAGUCAUCCUCUUCUUCAUCAGAGUCACCUUUCUCACGGAAUCUGGGAUUCUUCUCCUGUAAACGAAACAUAGAAUGUUUUAUGAAUAUCUCCGGUCCACAAAGAAAUAAUAAGGGACCAUGGCAUAACAAGAAACAUUGCUAAUACCGCUGGAUCAGAGUCUGGUGCUCUCUUGGACUCCUCUGGUGCCGACCGGUCGUCGUUCCGAUAGCGUUUCCGCUGGUAAUCUGGAGACUCAUAUCGUGUUAGUGAGCAAAAAUAAAACACACAAAAGAACAAUUUUGGCAUGUGUUACCUCCUCUGUCAUUCCUAUGAGAAUCUCCGUAUCCUCUCUUCCGCUCACCUCUCUCAUCUGCACAUUAAAAUAAGAUGGCAAAUUCAUGUCCCUAAUAUGGUCAGGUUAAAGCACAUCUAAAGAUAAGAAUAUAAUGGGAAAAAUCUACUUAAAACGACUGGCCAACUAAUGAUCAAAUGAUUGCAAAAUAUGCUGCAAAGAAUUGAUUCGUCACAAUCAUGGUCCAGACAGCAAGAAGUGAAACACCCAACUUAUGCAAGUUCACAACAUCACAAAAGUAAACUGAUUGCCACUAGGGUAAAAGAGAGAUUGGACUGUGUAAAGAAUGCUAUGCAGAGUAAGGAGUAACAGUCUAACAGAACUGGAAAAAGGGUAAAAUUGUUUCAUAUAUUCCAGCAAACAUUACAUGUUGAAUCAACCAAAGUUUAUACAAACCCCUAAGAACUCAAUCAAAGACAAAAAUCAUAGGCAUCACAAAACAAAUGCGAAUUCAUGGAAAUUCGUUCUCAAAAGAACAUAAUCCAAAUAACAUCAAACUUACAGGGAGGUGGUGCAUUCGGUUGAAAAGAUCCACCAUAGUCAACUAAUUCUCUUUGUGCUUCUAGUUCCCUCUGAACCAUCUUACCAUAACCACCUCUUCGUUUGAUUCAUUAAGGAAAAUUGAGAGCUCCUUAGAAAAGUGGUUGAACAAAGGGAACAUGCAAAGGUACACCAUAAUCAAAAUUGCACCAGUAAAAGACAACAGGCGCAGAGAAACAUGUAAUUUUAUAGCUCAAUUUAAGUUGACACCAGCAGGUGCAUAGCAUUUAUGGAAUCAUCUUAUGGUUUUCUAUGUUUUAUAGCACCAGAUCAGAAUGGAGUAAACUGUAAUAGAAUAGCAUCAAAGGAUAUCAGGAUCAUAAUCUGUACGGUACUCAUCUCUGACCUAUGCAAGGAACAAGCAAUAUAUAAGCAUAAAGCAUGUAGAAACCCAUGUAUAUUUGUUAGAAUAAGAUCAAGGCACUACUUGUCCACCACUUCGUCCACGGCCCCAUUGCCUGCCUUCUUCAAAGCCCCAAUCGAAAUCAACACGGAUUGGACGAUCAUCAAGCAUCGUUCCACUAAUGUAUUUGACAGCAUCUUCAGCAUCCUCUCUAGAGUAGUACCUGGAAAGACAGGAUCAAAUUGCAUAGGCAUAAGGCCUUGUUUAGUUUGCAAUUUUUUUUGUUUUUGACUACUGUAGCAUUUCGUUUUUAUUUGACAAACAUUGUCCAAUCACAGAGUAACUAGGCUCAAAAGAUUCAUCUCACAAAUUACAGAUAAACUGUGCAGUUAGUUUUUAUUUUCGUCUAUAUUUAAUACUUCAUGCAUGCGACCAAAGAUUCGAUGUGAUGGGGAAUCUUGAAAAUUUUUGCGAACUAAACAAGGCCUAAGCAUGGCCAUUAAAACAACAGAUACUAACAGUCAAACCAGACUAAGUAGUAUUCUUGCAAUGCACAGAUAUGUGUGAACAGCAAAAUUCCUUUUUUUUUUCAAAAUUGACAGCCGAUGAAUGUGUAGCUUCUAUGAACCUAACAGAAUAGUGAGUUUAUUCAGAACAAGGCAGACUGACACACUGUACCCAACAAUACAGUUUGCAUCACUAAAUUCAAUAACCUAUGCCCCGGUUACAAAAGUAAAAAAAAAAAAAACCAUGAUUCUCAUCCUAUGAAUAUAGAAUGACACACAUGAACGACAUCAAACUAAACAUGGAAACAAAAACAUAGAAACUUUGCAAGCAGAGGGGGAAAAAGGCUAACCGCAUAGUUGUUAUCAGUUUAGCAAAACUUCAGCAUAAAUAACAUCAUAUUCCUCGUUGUAACCCUUGAUUUCCCACUUUACAAAUAAGGAAUCAAACAUAAUUGCAACAACCCAAUAAAUCCUAAGGAAAAUUUACACUCAGAUUGGAACGUGUAUAGCUAAAUAUCAGUGCCCAUGAACUCACAUCCCAGUCUUCUGGGGAAGGGGCUCACAAGCAAGCAUAGAAAACAGCUAUGGUACAAACUUAUACAUAUACAAAUUCUCAAAUGGCCACUGAAAUCACCAGUAUGGAACAUUAUAUGUUAUUAAAUCCCAGUUCCCAUAAAAAAUGAUAAAUUAAACGACCACACCCUAAUUAGAGAGUGCACAAGUCAACAGCGGCCAUAGCAGCACUUGAAGAUAAUUGUUUAGGGGCUGGGCGGCAAGAUAUAAACACAUAUACACUCAACAUCUAUAUGGUAAAAGUUGUGUUUUCUAAAGAACUUCCACGCACGGGGGGCUCCACCCCUGAACUAAAACAAAGUACAUGAAAUUAAGUAAUAAAAAAAUGAAAAGAUGGAUUGUUUUUCUUAUAUAUGACAUCGUUUCUACAAGAACCAAGCACCUGCUAUUUACCGCAACCCCGACCCCCCACCCCAGACCAGCACUCCAAUUUAUUGCAAUAUCCUAUGGAAUAUACACGCUGAGAUAGCACAGUUCUCUAUUCCUGUUCUAGGCAUGUCACAUGUUCCUGGCAGCAAUCAAAUUUCAUGAAGCAAUGUCCAGAUGCAACUAGCAGAUGAACAGCUCACACUACUACACUACUGAAGAACCAAAUCAAUACAUAAACAGGACUGGAAAGCCAUCUACUCAGCAUCCAAUUGCAUCAAACUACACUCCAACAGAACAAUUGGAGCAAUUUUCCCUAAAAAUUAAACUAGGGCGAGGGCUAUGUUCCUGUAAAUUGAAGGAAACUACAGCACCGAAUCCAAAAUCACCCAGCGCAAGAACAAACAGGAAAAGUAACGCGACGUAUCAAGGAAGGGGAAGAGGCCCGCACAGCACGAAGCAGAAACCGCAUGGGGUCUUGGAGUUCUUGUCGAGGCCCAUGAUGAUCUUCUUGAUCUCGCCGGCGCGGGAGAAGAGCUCGUAGGCUUGCUCCUCCGUGGUGUAGAAGGACAUGUUCCCAAUGUACAGCGUAGUCGACGCAAGCAGCGUCGCCUCAUACUCCUCCUGCGUCCCCUUGAAUCGACGGUCCCUGUACGCCGAAAGCUUGCUCGGGUCCUGGAGGCAGCAGGAGAAGCCGCGAAGAGCCGCGUCAGCAUGGCGGGGCGACGGGACCUGGAUGCUCGGGGAAUUAGGGUUUUUGAGAUCCGUACCUUGAAAAGGGACGCCAUUGAGGGCUGCGGCGGCGGCCGCGCGUGCUAGGUCGAGAACUCUGCGUUCAGCGGUUGAGAGUUGAGGGGGGUUUGGCUCGAGUGAAGAAGAGCCGGGCGUGGGGAAUUUUGGCGAUCUGCAAUUGGCGAAGGCCGAAGGGGACGAAACAAGGAGGGGGAACCGGGGACGGGGAGGUGUUAAAAAUAGGCAUAAAAAAUAUCAUUUUACCAAAACUAAAACAUUCUAAAACUUCCCUUAAAAAGGUUGCCAACAUAAUUCCCACCGCUCAGAUUUGUUCAGCUAAAACUUCAAAGAGAUAUUAUUUACGCCUGUUUGAUCUAGGAAGAAAAAGAUGUAAUUCUCACUUUAAAAAAAAUCAAACGAUGUGAAGUUUGACUAAUUAUAUAAAAUAUUAGCAUUUACCUAUAUGGAAGAUUUUUAAGUUUAGGGACCAAGAUGAUACAACCGAACAAGUUUAGGUACCUAAAUGGUCGUUUUGCGAGUUUAAGGACCGGGAUGACACAUCCAAAUAAGUUUAGAGACCGCUGAUGGACUUUACUUUAAAUUAAUUAUGAAAUAUAUUUUAUAUAGUAUACUUAGUUCAAGACAUAAAUGUUAAUAAUUUUAGUAUAAAUUUGAUUAAAGUUAAAGUAACAAAUCCUACAGUAACAUUCUUUUGCAGAUGGGGUGAUUAAUUCGCUACUAACAAUUACCUAAUUUGGAUUUUGAUCAAAUAGAUUUAAUUGAUAGUCUAAUUAAUUGCUAGCUAAAUACUAGCAACUAACAAUUAUUUCACUAGUCGGAUAAAACCAACUAAUAGUUAGCUGACUAAUAAAAGCUAUAAGCUAGCUAGCUAUUAGCAGCUAAUGAAUACAAACAUGGCCAUAAUUUAUUGGCUAGAACAAAUAUAUAGAUGUUCAUAGAAGCUUAUAAAGUGUCUUAAGAGUCACCCUAGACACAAAAUUAUGUCAAAAUUAACUUUUGAACCUACUAUUAUAUGUUCAUGCGAUCAAUUUGGUAUUUUUCAGUAAAUACAGAAAUCAAAAUUCCUCGAUUUUUAGAAGGAAUCGAUCGAUAGCUAUUUUCUAAAGAACCCAAUUUCCAUAGAACCAAAGUACUGAACUGUAACACUCUAAAAAUUAUAUACUUCUAAACAUAGGGUUGAUUUAUUGUAUUUUUGUGAGCAUUAGAAUAAAGAAAAUAAUAAUUUUUAUUAAAGUAAAAUCAACUAUAAGGACAAGUUACAUGUUUGAGCAUCCAUACUGCUGCAUUAUUUUGCUUGAGUGGUCGUUUCAAAUUCAAAAAAAAAGGUUUUCAUUUUUUUUGAAAUUUAUCUAAGCAAAGGUUUAAAAAUAAAAACAGAAAGGACCUUAUUUUCUCCCCCUCACUCUCUCUGGAAUUCGGCCCCAAAUCUCCUGCGGCCUGCUUUUCUUCUGUGGGCUGAAGCCCAGUUCCCUCUCUCCUUCUCCCCUCUUUCGCGUUGUACAGCAGGCCGGCCCGGUUAGGCCACGCGGGCGUCGUCGCCUUUGGUUCCGCUGACGGCCUCGUCUCACCCUCCCUCUCGCUGACGCCUCGAGCCCACUAGUCAGUCGCAUCUUCUACCUCUCGUUGUCGAGACGGACUCUGUCUAGGGCUACCAGCCGGUGGAUUCCUCACGUCUAGCGUGAACCGCACGCUGAGGGCUCCUAUAAGUAGUAGCCACAGCCUCGCCAACUCCCUAUUCCUAACCCUAGAGCAAGCCGCUGCCCUAGCCGAGACGCAGCAACCGCCGAGAUCGCCGUCGAGGUUGAACUUCUGCUCCGUCGUGCCUCCACCUCCGUGAACCCAUUGUCGAGCUUCGUAUCGACCUUGCGAAGUCACCGAGCUCUUUCUCUCUUUUUUGUGCUCUCUGUGCUCCGUUUAACCUCGCCGAACCUUGCAGGAACUCAGCCGUCCACCGUCAUCCAUUGUGAGCACACUUCGGCCGCUCCCCGACUUCGAUUUUGCCUUAGGUGAGAUCGCGAUAAGCUUCUUUACGUCCCUGUGCCCUUGGUUUCUUGAUUCGUGCUCUAAAUCGCUGGAUCGAGUAACUCCGGUCGUGCUCGUCCAUGGCGCCGCCAUGUUCUACCCCAACUCCGGCCGGCUGCCUCCUCGCAUGUUUCCCCGAUCUAAUCCUCACCCUCUAAACGAGAUCCAACGGCCAAGGUCGAAGGGUACCCCUUCGGCCGUGACUUUUAUAAAAGAGCCCCUCGGCUUUUUAGUUAUCGAACCCGCAGUUCAUGGCGUAUUCCCCGGACACGUUUUCCUUUUUCAAAAGUCUACUUUCUUUUUAUUCAGAUUUAAAUACGUUUUCUCAAAAUUACAGAUUUGCCACUAACCUUGUUUUGAUCAUAAAAUCUUCAUUUUGACUCCGAUUUGAACCACUCAAAUUGCGUUAGAUUUGGUUUUCCGUAAUCUAUAGAUUAGUACCAUUGUUAUACAUGUUUCCAACUUUUAAAAUUCGAGCUUAGAUUUAAUCUAUUACCUUACCGUAGGAAAUCUUGUUUGGAUCAUAACUUUUUCGUUAUAACCUCGAUUUUCAUGAUUCUCAUGUCUGUGUGAUCGUAGUGCAACGUAAAUUCAUUUUACAAACUUCUCAUAUUUAUUUACUAAUGUUGGUGUAUUGUUCUAAAUAUAGAUUUGUUUGCUUUGUAUGAUUGUCUCUGGAUGAUUGUUGUUGAUGUGAUGGUUGAAUAUAGACGGUGAGCAAUUCGUGCGUGAUCAAGAGUAUUUCUACGAAUAGGAUCAACAGGACCAGUUUGAUCAAGGCAAGUAUAGCAUGGGAUUAUCUUUGUUUUCCUAAUAACUAUAGUCACACACAAUUCAUAUUACAUGUGUCGUCUUGUUAAAGAUUUUCUAGUAUUGAUCUUAUAUCUUGUCACCUAUGGUUUUGCAUUGGGUAGCUUAUGCUAGUGCUUCACUAAACCAUGAUCUUGUAAUUUGAUUAAUGAAAUAUGCAAUAAACAUUAAAAGAUGAUUUUAAGCAACUUUGGUAAAGAGGGCUAGAGCAUUGCGCUAAUUUAUGGUGCUCUAUUUUCUCUCCAUAAGGACUUACCUGUAUGUGAUCAUCCAGGACAUACAGUACAACUAUGAGGGCUAUAUGGCUCUGCCUUUAGUUCAGUAUAAGGACCUUUUCUAGCUUGUUAGUGGUUAUCCUUUAUGGUGCAAUAGGGGCUUGCCGAAUCGGGUAUUGUGCGGCCUUUGUCCUUAUGUGUAUAGUCUGCACGUUAUUGUGCCAUUUGGAAGGGGGCUCUAUAUCUGUUUGCCAAUUAGAAAUCUAGCGGCCCUAACAUUGUUAGACGAAUCAUUGAAAGACUUUAUAGUGAACCCUACCGACCUUCCUUGGUAGUGGGUUAAGGGGCUGAUCACAUCAGGCCAAAAAGUAAAUCAUGACUCACAGUGAAAGUGUACAACCUCUGCAGAGUGUAAAACUGAUAUAUCAGUCGUGCUCACGAUCACGAGCAACCUUGGAACCCUUACAGAAUAAAUGAUCACUAAUGGCUAUUAUUAUUACUAUUAUUGUUAAUAUAUUGUUUAUGCAAUUCUUUAUUCACUUUAAUUACUUGAUCAUGAGUUUACUUCGGGAUAUGACAACUUGAUGCUACUCAUAUGCUAAAUUGUGCCAACUAAAAGCUACGUGUAGUUUAAACUCGUGUCUAGCCUAUUUGAGCCUCAUGAACCCCAUGUUAUGUUGCUGAGUACGAGAUGUACUUAUGCUUGCCUUUACGUUUUAUUUGGAUAAAAAUCCCAGAUGGAUACCAGAUUAUAAGUUUCAAGGAGUUUAGGCUUGUGAUCAACCAGUUAGUUAUCCCUGUGGAAUUGGAGCUUUCUGUAACAGAACCGACCAAAUUAUAAGAGAUUAAUCCUAAUAGUGACCAUUUGCAUAGUCAAACCAUCGAGCUUAAGCCCAUAUAAUCCCGGUAGUCCAUGAAAUCUCGAAGGAUUUCAAACCACAUAUCGUACAUACAGCCAAGAUCGUAAUAAGUUUAGCGGUCGCCAUCCACAAAUACAUCCAGAUUACAACAUUCAGAAAAUACAUCAGAGUUCUUAAAAAUUAUUACAAACCAAGUUCUCAAGUAGCGGAAGCUUCAUAGUUCGAAAUAACACACACAUACUUAGUCUGAUACAGUGCCAUUUUUUGGUCAUUCCCACAAAAGCAAAAGAAGAGACUGAGUGACCAUCGCCCUUGGUCUAGUCAUCACCCAUGGCUGGGUACAGACAGAGGAUGCAAUAACCAUAGUACAUUUGACCAUCUGCAAAACAACAUGGGAGUAGAACCCUGAGUACGAGAAUGUACUCAGCUAGACUUACCCGUCAUAAAUUAAAAUAAAGACUCUUCAAGGAUCAUGAAGGCUAUAUAGUGGGGCAGCUGACAACCUUUUUGCAAAACCGCAAGAUUCUAUUAACAUGCCCUACAUAAAUCUUCCUUCUUUUAAUUUGCUCAAGUUGACAGUAUCAUUACUUAUUAUCUAGGUUUGUACCUGCACUAUUACAAUCAAGUGUAGUAAUAUGAUGAUACCUCAUCAUAGUAUUCAUGAAACCAUUUAUCUUUAUAAUCCAAGUGUUCCGUGUCCUUACUACGAGGACGAAGCUCAUGUCAAGUGCUCACUAUCCAGGAGCGAUGGCGAUUCGAAUCGAUUUCUAACCAGCUGGCGAGUUUAUUCCCCACACAAACCACACUCACUGAUCAAGUGAGCUACAGAUCACCGUAUUGCACUAUCCAGGACCAAUUCGCGGGUUCGACAGGCACCGCCCGUACCCGAGGACCGUUCCGGCGACCGAGGUAUCCAAGGUAUACCAAGGUUGUGCGCCGCGCCCUCGUCGUUCCCCUCAACCAUCACCAAUACAGCGCGUACAUCGGGCCGAUUUCCGGCCCGGAUAGUGCUCAGGCUUCGCGGUCGGAACGACUUAUCCUUCCAGCUAAAUGUGGGACAUGCGUUCAACAUGACAAGAGGGCCGUCAACGAUCGGUCCUUAAUCGACACAGGCAGGGGCACUAUAGUCAACCCACUAUAAGACCCUGCCCGGUCUCAAAUUUCGUUCCACACUUGGUUAUUCUUUUCCCAAAGCAAUCACUGCUUAAUCAAGCAGGUAUCCACCUAUAUCUCGCAGGUGAUAGGAAAUCACCCGACUUCUACCGGACUAAGCAAGCUAAGCAUAGACUCCGCACCUAUCUACAUAGGACAAGGUAGAUAAAUGAGGGGUGAUAUCAAGGAGUACCAAUGCAUCAACGGUAUCAACCAACUCCUAUCACUUAAAUGCAGUACAAUAGAACAAGCAUAAUAUAUCAUGUAAGUUAGCGAGAAUAGGGAGACUUAGAAUGCUCCGGGGCUUGCCUUUCUCAAACGUGCUGGGCCGGUGAUCCGGACACUCCUGUAGCUCUUCUCCGGGUUCCGGUGCUUCCGGAGGUUCCUGCUUCUGAAUCUCCUCUGGCUCCUCGGGUCCCACCUCGUUCUCCUGCGAGCCUGUGUGAUGUAUGUAUGCUCAUGAGUGGAGUGCGGGAUGUCCGAGUGGAUGCUUGUAUGAGAAGGUACCAAAUGAUCAUGACAUGAUGCAUAUGUGAUUUAAUUGGUCAUGCUCUUUACAAGGUAGUCAACAUCAUCCAAGAAUAGGCAAUUGAUUUUAAACAUCUAUUGCAUUCUCUCCUACAAAUUGUUUUCAAGUAUAAUCAGCAACCCACAAGCUGCUUCAAAGAUACACCAAACCCCUUCUUAUUCCAUUUAACCCACAAAUAACAAUUAUAAUUUAAUUACUCAUUUCUAGGCCCAUCAAAAAAUAGCAUGCAUUUCUGUUUAUCAAUAAAUUCCACAAACAUUACAGGAGACUAUCAGUCCAGCAUAAAGUCUACCACAAAUUUUUCAUAAUUUUUGGAUACUUAAUUUGAGCUACAAAAAUCAUAAGAUUAUUUAAUAAAGGCAAGUACAAUUACCCUACUGUAUUAUAAGUGUCAAACAGCAGAUUUUAUAUUUUUAUAAUUUGCCUAAUAUCAUAGCAAACACCCACAAAAAUUACCAGAUUAAUUGCAUAAUCCAUUUAAUUAUUAAAAAUCAUAAACCACUGCAAUGCAAGCAUUUAAAUCACCAAAAAUUCAUUUAUACACCAAAUAAUGUGUAGCAAUAUUUUCCCAAUGAGUUAACACACAUGCAGAGCCAACAAAAUAGGUUUCACAUUUUUCUGAGCCAUAUUUUAAUUAUUAUGCAUUUUCCAAGUUUAGCAAAAGCAUGGAUUAAUUAUUCUUGUCCAGAAAAAGGGUUCAAACAUGACAUGCAAUUACAUCAAACUGUAGAUCUAAAAAUGGAGAGCACACCAAAAUUUAUUUCAUCAAAUUUGGAGCUGUAGAACUCAAGAUAUGGAUUUUACAAGUUUUAAACCGAUUUCUGGAAAACCUUUUCUGAAAAUCAAUUCGAAAUCGGGAUCAAAAACACUAAAGACACCCAGAUCUACACCCAACGCGGUCCCCCUGCGACUGACAGUGGGCCUCUGACCCCAUUGGUCAGUGAGACCGAGAGGGAGGGUACCUCCGACGAGCAGAUCUCGCCGGCGGUGAGGUUUCCGGCCACGGGGUGAGCACCAUUGUACUCCCCGCAGCGAGGCGCACCCAGCGGUACCCUCGGAUUGGCCGGAGGAUGGCCGGAGCACCUCCGACGAGCAUGCAUGGCGGCACGGCGGCGCUGCUCGCCGUGGCCAGGCUGCUCCGGUGCGGUAGAACACGCGCAAGGGCUCCUCCGAGCUUCCCCGUCGCACUACGGAUCUAACGCGCCAAAAAGCAAGCGAAACGAGGCGGAAACGAGCGAGGUUCGACGCGGCGGAGCUCUCCGGCGAGGUCGGAGCAACUCCGACGAGCGAUUCACGGUGUUCGACGGGCUCUCACCUCGGUAGAGCGUUCGCAGGAGCUUACCGCGACGACGGCGAGCGCGCUGGUGGUUUUGACGACGAGAUUGGGGCACUAGCGUGGCCGGCGGUGAGCAGCGGAGCUUCUCCGGCGAUGGCGCUGCGGCGGAGCUCCUACGGCUGCGAUUGCGCUCGCGAGCGGAGGGAGGAGGGAGAGAGGCGCGGGCGACAGAGCGAAUGGAGCGGCCUGGGGGCUCGGGUCGGCGUCCCGACCAGGUGAAGCCGGUCGGCCGCGGCGCGCCCAUCGCUGGCGUACGGCCGCCACGUGGCCGUCGCUGGCUGGGACGAGGCGGGCGUCCGCGCGCGGGAGAGGGGAGGGGGAGGCAGGCCGGGCCGCUGCCUGGGCCGAAAGGGAGGCGGGGUUGGCCCAGCAGCGCCUGCCCCCUUUUCCAUUUUUUUUUUUGAAUUUCUUUUCUCCAAUUCUUUUCUAAAUUCAUUUGGACCAUUUUAAAAUCAUUUCCACCUUUUGCCCCCAAAAACAAAGUUGUUCCAAAACAAAAACCCUACAACUCUGUUUUAAUAAGCAAGACCAAAUUCCAAAUAGAAUUUGAAUUACAGAUUAAAACUAGUUAUAGGUUUUCAAAUAAAUUCAUUUUGGGUGAUUUUUGUAUAAAUUCCAUUUCUCAAAUUCUAUGGCUCCAAAAAUUGCACAAAAAUAUUCUUAAAUCUUCUUGCACACAAUUCAACCUAGUUUGAAUAUUCCACAAUUUUAGAAGCAAGUAUCAUAUUUUUAGCAUAUUUAAUCACAUAGAAUAAAGCACACAAAAUCAUAUUUUUGGAUGGAUGCCAUGCUCAUGUGAUGCUAUGCUUGAUGAGAAUGCUUAUGCAUGUUUUGGUAAAACUAAGUGCAUGCUUAACACCUAGGGUGUUACACUUUCGCCUAAAGAACAAAGUGUCUUUCCGCUAUUUGCUAUCUAAGGUUAUAUCUCUUAUACUAAGUAUGUUAUAUAUUGACCAUUGUCUAUUGAUAUUAUCUUUAUUUGUGACUAUAUAUGGGAUUUAACUUCCGCCGGAUGCUACAUGAACCGACUUAAGAGCACAUAGAAAAUUGUGUUUUACUCCGUAAGGAAGAAGGGGAUCGGAGACUAAUAUUGAAGCAAUAUAUGCAAGCUUUGGACCUGACUGUCUCCAACAAAAGACCUAUUACGGCACCUAAACCCAAAAUGGUCUCAAGCGGUACCUAUAACCUUCAACAUACGGAGACCUAUUUUGGAUGAUACAGGAGUAUGACCUAAGGCCUUGUUUAG